rnacentral:lncRNA from 1 species
UCACAUACAUACAAACACAACUGAGAUUAAUAUGAUCAAAUUGAUCAAUAUCGAAUACUAUUUCCUUCGUACUUACAAUUUUGAGGUGGUUCAAUUCACCAUAGUCGGGCUUAUUAUUGCCAAACACUUGCAAAACCUCUUGCCUUGCACGUUCUUGCCAAUCUUGAUGCUUGCUCAAUAAGACCAUUGUCCAAUUAAGCAAAACAGAGGUAGUCUCUUGGCCGGCAAGGUAAAAUAGCUUACACUCUUCGAUCACAUCGUUCAUGCUGAACCCAACAUUUUUGUUAUUUCCAUGUUCUUCAAUCUCUCUAAAACUGGUUUCCAUCAGUAUGCCUAACAAGUCAUCAUUCGCAGCUUCCCCUGCUCUCAUUGCCUUCUCCCUAUUUUUGAUGAUUCCCAUCAAUGAAGCCCGGAUUUCCUUGUCAAUUUCUUUCAUUCUCCUAUUUCUCUUUGUAGGUAAAAACCUAUAUAUAAGCAAUGAAACAACUUUAAAGACAAGAACUAAACAAACUAAUCAAACCCUUAAUUUUUUUUUUUUACCCUCUUUUUACCAAUCAGAAAUCUGCUGGAGCCUCUUAGAAUAACUCUAUGAUUAGCUCAAUCAAGAUAUCUGAGCCGAAAUCAGCUAGGUCUACUUCUAAUAUUUUGCGCGAAAGAAAAUAACUCCCACAAAGCUAAUCAAAGCCUACUCAUAAAUAAUCCUAUAUGACAUGUAUAUAUGAAUGUUUCCAGUGAAGAGAAAUGUGAAUAUACCUCCAUCCUGGAAUGUGAACUGAACGAAAGACUUGCAUUGUGAGUUCAGCUAGCUCUGCCUGGAGCUGAAAAAUCCUUCUUCCUUCUUCAUAACUACUCCCAAAAGCCGUUCGAGAAAUCACAUCACUUGUUAAAUUUGCAAGAUAAGGCCAUACAUCCAACUCAGAUGAUCCUUCUACAGACAUUUGCUUCUCCCACUUUGUAAUUAUUUCGGUACAACUCAAGUAGAAUGCUGGCAACAUAAGCUGUAACAAAAGCAAGAAAUCUAAAUGAGGGCAAAAUCGAAUCUUCCAAAGAUAUGUAAACAAAUGGAGAAGUUAAUUAAUAAACCUUGAGCUUCUCUUGGUGGAAGGCUGGGUUGAUGAGUUUUCUAUGUUUAGCCCACUUCUCCCCCUCAAGGCUAGCCAAUCCAACUAUCAGCAGCCUGGCAAGUGGGAUUGAAUUGACUUUUUGAAAAUCAUUGAUCUUGGUAAAUAUCGCUUUUAUUUGAUCAGGAUUCAUAAUAUUCACCCUUGGUGUCGGACCAAACCACAUGAAAGAAUUCUUACCUGCAGAAAUUUUUUACCAAUAUACGCACAUGUUACUUGUUAGAGGCAGAUGGUACAUUGAAAAUGGUAGUAUACCUAAGCUGUGAAAAAUUAGUGAUUUUAUUCACAAAUCAGUCAAAGAAUAACCAUUCAUACUAAUUGAUUUUACCUCAAGCAGAAAAGAUCUAACAAGCAACUUUGCCCAUUAUAAGGUAAACAAUUAGAAACAUGGCACGAUUUAUAAGAUAAUGUAAAAGCCUAACGGCGUUGAAACAGUGAAUUAAUCAGACAACACUCAGCAAAAGGAACAACGCUGCCCUCUGGGAAUUUUACAUGUGGCAUAGCCCAUCCACAGGUUGAAUUACACCCACGCACCUAUCUCAUCAAUACAUUAGUGGUUCUAGCCACUCAGUCAAGGCUGAGUGGUAAAGUAUCACCACUUAAUUAAAAAAAAAAAAAAAAGGAAAAAAAAGAGAGAGAAGUUUAGCCGCAACGUCGAUUUUUUUCUCUGAUCAAAGAAGCGUAAAAUUAUGUUUUAACCCACCAAAAUUUUCAAGAAUUAUCUUUACGUGAACCAUCUCUACUGAAUCAGAAGUCUAAUCAAAUUUCUUUCGUCGGAGAGGAUUAAUUCUUUAAGCAGUGGCACAGUCCAGAUAUUUGAGUCAUUUGAGACCAGAACAGAACGUAUCUACUUUUGAACGAGUAAAAUUAAAAGAGUACACGCCGGGAUUGACAUACAUACCAUAAUCAUUUACCAGUUUAUGAAGGAAUGGAUUGACACGAAUAGCAAUAUUGUCAUCCAAACUGAGGGGUCUGGCUUUGGCUUCCUUCAGCUCGAUGGAAUUUUCUUUCAAGUCACCAAACAGAAGCCUGUAAGAAUUGCCUUUUAAACCUUGCUGUCUCAGGAAUUUCUCCAGCUUCUUGGGCCUCAGCCACACCCAGUUCAGCACUCUCCAUGCCCAUGUUAGCACCGUUAGAAUAACAAUGGUAACAGCUAUGGAUUUCAGAGGCAACUCCAUUUCACACUGACAGAUUUUGCGGGUUUAAAUUUGCAGAGACGAACGAGAAUGAUAUAUAUAGUCAUCAAGCGAAUGAGAAAAUCGUUUUCCUUUGCAUGUGUUUUUGAUUAGGUGUUUUCUGGAUCGAUACGUGUCAAGCUUGCAUGUGACUGUGAACUGUGGACCCUGUUCUAGAACUAGACUGUUUGGGAUCGAUUAAUUUUAAAAAAUAAACUAAAAUUCAUAUGGUAAGAAUUUUUAAGUAUAAAUGUUUGUAAAAUAAAAUCUAAACCUACAUUUGAAUGGCAAGCAUCUAGAAACAAGAUCUGUAUUCUGUCAUAUGACGCCAGGAAAUAUACUGCCUUUUCGUAAAUGCAUAAUCAAGCAGCAUGAUGUGCUCUGCUUUCACACGAAUGUAGGUCCACUUUGUCUUGGCUUUUACGGAAUUUCAAUUCUAUUGUUAUGGGGAUUAAUGGCUCUGCUUAAUUUUGGGGUCUGCUUUCAGAGAAAUACAAAACGAUUAGAACUCUGCUUUGUGAUACAGACAAGACGCAAUGGAUCUAUCAUCUUCAUCUCUACUCCUAUUUCAUUUAUCUUUAUCAUGAAUAUAAUCCACGAUUCUCAAACAUGAUAAACAAGGUCACAAACUAUGGUGUACCAAUCGGCUGUUUUUUUUUUAACUUAAUUAAUUUAAUUUAAAUCAUUGAGUCCAUUUAUUUUUUCAACUUAAUGAAAAUUUUCAAUCACUAAAUCAUUCAGUUACCAAGCUAAUUUUUAAAUUUUUUGUUUAAUCUAAAAAGUCUAAAUAAUAACAUUAAAAGAUUUUCUCUAAAAUAUCUCUAUCUAAUUAAUUAAUUUUUACCCUUACCUAAAUAAAUUUUAAUAAUUGAUGUUAUUACCUACCUCUAUAACUUGUGAUAAUAUAGUGCACUAGUAGACUACUAUUAUUUUUUAUUUUUUAUUUUCUUCAAAUUAAAAUUAUUUAUCUUCAUAAUUUUUCAUAAUUAUUUUUCAUAUAAAAACAUCAUAAACUAUAGUAAAAUUGAUUAAUAUAUACUAAUUUAAAAUAUUAAAAAGAGUAUAGACAUUAUGAGACAGUAUCAUUAAGCAGCUACUGGAAUAAGAUGUUAUGAGCCUAAAUUUUAUAAGGUCAAAGUUGAAUUUGGCCGAUCCUUUAACAAAAAAAACUAAACAAGAGUUUAGUAGAGAUCACAUCAAGGGAGAUGGGACUAGUGGCUAGAUCAUAAGACAAGAGUGAUGGUAACCCUACCUAUGUGAUUGGAGAUCCAUGAAAAAUGUUCAAUAAGUUACUUGUUGUUUUGGAAUGCUCUCAAUAUUAUGUAAUCUUAUUUUUAUUCAAUAAAGAUUUUCUUUAUUUAUAAGUCCUCCUUAUAAUAAGAUAAUGUUUAUCGCAGUGAGUUAGGUUAAGCAAUUGAGCUUUUCAUGAACUCCAUAACUCAAUUUUUAUGUAUGAUGGUGUGUUAAAACUGCAUGACAUACUUGAUGGAGGUUCACCUAUGUUAGUGUGGAAUUGGAUAAGUUCCUAUGAGAGUUAAACAUGCUUCUCUAGAGCGCUCAUGAAUACAAGGGCACAGGGCUACUAAAGUGCCAAACCGCAGAACAACAAAAUAUUGAGAGAGUUUAAUGUGAGCUUCUAGUCAUCUGCCUUACAAAAAAAAGAAUAUUGGUUUAUAGAAAUUAUCAGUUUCACCAAGUUCCUAUGACACAUGGUUAGUUAUUCAAUGGCCAGUUCAUAGCCCCAAAGGCACCAGUUCAUAUGCAUUAAACUCUAUGGACAAUGAUGAAGUCGAAAGAAAUUGAGUAUUUUGAAAUAUGUGGAGGAUUGUUAAAGAUUGAGUUGGUAUUUUAAAAUACCAAUAUUCCACAUUACUUAAACAAAAGAGUACAAGUUGGUUUUUAUAUAGAAAACAAAUAUAGUGUAGUAACAAGCCUAUGAAGAGGAGGCUCAUAUGCAUGAAACCAAGCGCGAGAGAGGAGUUCAUUCCAUGACUCUAUUAAUUGGUUGCUCGUACCCAAUAACUCACUCGCAAUGGGGACCCUCCUUCCCCCCAUGGGGUGUCAUGUAUGAGUGUGGGCUUGGCCAUCUAUUAUGUUUUGUCCUUUGUUUUAAUUUUAUUUAUUUUAAUUCGAAUUAGAUUGAGAAUUCAAUUCCUAAUGGAAUUAGGAUUUAAUAAACAUAAUUAUAAUUCAGAUUUAGAGAGGAAAAGGGGGUUAGGGCUUGUAUCUAUUUAAAGAGCCGAAUAUAUCACACUAUGGUCAUCCAAAAACUUACUCUCUUGCUCUCUGUUCUUUGUUGCUCUUUGUUUUCCUUUCUUUCGUCAUUGUACGUUUUGCUAUUCUGAACUAUCAAGUUGAAGUGCAACAUCACAAUCGUAAUAGUAAUUGUAUCAUGGAGAUCAAACUACUUUUGUUAGCCCUUCUUGCACCGAAAUACUGCAUCUUGAGAUCAAGCUUAUUCCAACAUUUUUGUUGUUUCCAUGUUCUUCAAUUUCUCUAAACUUGGUCUCCAUCAGUAUGCCAAGUCAUCAUUUCCAGCUUCCUCUGCUUUCAUUGCCUUCUCUCUGUUUUUAAUUAUUCCCAUCAGUGAAGCUCGUAUUUGCUUGUCAAUUUCCUUCAUUCUCUUAUUUCUUUCUGAAGGUACCAGCCAGCCUAUAAGAAAUAGGAACAAUAGAAAAUACAAGAACGUAUUGAAUGCACUAAUCAAAUCCUACUUAUCGAUUUCAACAAUAUGAUUAACAUCUUAGAUUAACCAUAUGACGACAUGGAUCGAAGUUAUAAGCCCAGGAUGGGUCAAACCUACUUCCAUAUUUUUGGAAGAAAAUCAACUCCUACAUUGCUAAUUACUCCCAGAAGCCGUCCUCAGAAUCACAUCACUAGUUAAUUUUGCAAGAGAAGGCCGUGCACCCAACUCACACGAUCCUCCUUUUGACGUCAGGUUUUCCCACUUUGUAAUUAUUUCACUACAACUUUGCUAGAACGCAGGCAACAUAAGUUGAAACGAAACAGAAAGAAAUUAAAAUGAAGACAUUUAUGUAAACAAAUGAAGAAAUCAAUUAAUAACCUAGAGCUUCUCUUGGUGGAACUGGUUGAUAAGAUUUCUAUAGUAACCCACUUGUCACCUCAUGGCUAACCAAUGCAAGUGCCAAUAAUCUGGCAAGUGGAUCUGAAUUGAUUUUUUGAAAAUCAUUGAUCUUGGUAGAUAUCUCUUUGAUUUGAUCGGGCUUCACAAUAUUCAACCUUCGCGUCGGACCGAACCACAUAAAUGAAUUAUUGCCUGCAUCAAUUUUUAAGCUCUGGUUAUUUUGCUCGUGGCAUAACUUACCACAGCUUGAGUUACACCCAUUGGCCCAUGAUAUCAAGAAAAUUAUUGGUCUCGCAAACAACAUAGCUCAAAUGUUUCAACACCAUACAUAUUUUCUUCAUUAAUUAAAAAAAAUUACGUUUUAACCCAUAAAAAUAUUCAAGAAUUAUCUUGAUGUGUAUGAUCUCUACUAACUACAUUUAUAACGAGAAGUCUAUUUGGAUUUCUUCCACUUAUAUCAGCUCUACAAUUGUGCAAACUGAAUUAGUUUUAUUAAUAAUGGCACAAUCCAGUCGAGAUAUUAUCGUCUAAACUUUCUUUCAAGUCACCAAACAGAAGCCUGCAAGAAUUGCCUUUGAAACCUUUGCUGUCUCAGGAAUUUCUCCAGCUUCUUGGGACCCUCAGCCACACCCAGUUCAGCACUCUCCAUGCCCAGUUCCCACUGUUACGAUAACAAUGGUCAGGUCUAUGGAUUUCAGCGGCAAUUCCAUUUCACACAGAGAGAUUUUUGAAGUGUUCAAAGAAAUGAGACUUGCCUACGUGGUAGAUUAGUUGAAAGUGAAUUAAAAACAUUUUUUCGUUUGCAUAUGUUCAAUGGCUUUUCUUAGUUUCGAAUUUUCCUGUACCAUUAUAUUGUCUCCAGCUAAUGGUACACGUGUCAAUAUCAAUCAUGCAUGUGGUGAUCUUUGUGGACUUGUCACUCAUUGACUGUCUUCUAUAGAACUAGAGAAUGUAAGUUCGGUUAAUUAUUUGAAAAAAAAAAAUUGUUUACCCCUAAUACAUUAAUUAUUCUCAAAAUAUCCUCAAACUAUAAUAAACAUUAAUCAAUCCACAAUUACUAUUAAGAAGGUAAAAAAAGAAAAAAGAAAUCAUCAAUCGUUCCCAUUUGAUCUUAUUUUUUGAAUGAUCAUUAGGGUAAAUUAAGGUUUACAAGAAUUUAGAGAUAACUGAAAUUAACAAAAAAUAAAUAAAAUAAAACUCAUCUAAAUAAAUUAUGCAUGGUGGGCCUAUUUGCCCUUUAAAACAUACUCAAAAUAUACUAUUAUUUAUGUAUACUCAUUUACUUAUUUUAUAAAAAGGGUGGGGCUAUUUGCACUCUUAACAUUACUAGAAUAUUCUUAUUUUAAUAAAUUGUUUUAUUACAAAAAUACUUAUUAUAUGAAUUUCCAAUAUGGAAUCUCUCUUAUAAACUAACAUAAUAAAAUUACUCCAAACACUCACUAUUCAAUAUAUGAUUAUCUUACCAUAAACCCGAAAAAUUUUAAAUCCAAUAUCUUAAACAAUAUUUAGUUAAACAAAGAGCAAAUCAAUACUUUUAAUAUAUUUUGAGCAUAUUUUUACUCUUUGAUUUUCAGAAGACAAAAAAAAAAUUGCUGUCUUCUUCCUCUUCCUCAUCCUUCUUUUAGUCUUCUUUUUCUUCGGCUAUUUCUUCUUCCUCUUUUUUUCCUUUUUUUUCUUUCUUUUUUUUUUUUUUUUGGCUAGAUAGCAAAAAAAUUUUCAAUUGUUUGGUUAAUAAAUUGGGUGCAAAAACUAAUAUUGAAUACAUUCUUUAAUAGACAAAAGCUAAUAAAGAAUAUGUUUAGAAUAUAAUUUGAUUCCUUUGUGUAUAUACUAAGUUGUUAUUAAUUCAUUUUGGAUGCUCAAUAGUUUAAUUGGUGUUUUGAGUAAAUUAGUUUAACUAGUUUAAUUAAGGUCCUUUUUUUUUUAUUUUAAAGAGUGUAGAAAGUAAAAUUUAAUUAUUUUAAAUUCAACACAUUAUUGUACAAAGUAAUAAAGUGUUCAAAGUAAUUUUUGGAGUAUAAAUAACCUAAUCUUUUGAAAAAUGGUGGGACUAUUUGAAUCCACCAUAAUACUCAUUUGACCCAUGUUUUAGAAAACAUUUUUACUACUAAAUUGUCUCUAAUGUAAAUCACUAUUAAAGACAUAAUAGUAUGUAUAUACUUCAUGCUCUCAUCUUUUAAUCAUGUCUAAAUUUGUUCAAUGUGGACAUAAGAGAAAAUUUGUUUCAUACUUUUAAAUUUUUUUAAAAAUUUUCUUCAACUCCUUUGGUCGAAAACAAAUCCAAUCGAGUUGUUGGAUACUUGGAUUUGGUCAAAACUAUCUCACCAGUAAAGCUCAUUGGAAUCCAAUAAACCAAUAAGUUCUAGUCAAGCUAUUCUAGAUUCAAGCAAUAAAAUUUAGGAAAAUUAUCAGUCGUAUACUCUUAAAUGACAUCCGUAUCAAACGUGUGUGAACACUUUUGAAAUGUAUCACUCGUUUACCCUAAGUUGACAAAACACUUCUGCCGUCCGCCAAUCCGUUAACUUCCGUUUGCAAGCGCGAACAUCAUAAGGGCAAUUUAGUCUUUUAAGAUUGACGAAACUUUGAUUUAAAAAAAGGACAUGUCAUCCCAUUUACCUAGUACAAAAUGACAUGUCAUAUGAUAUAUAUUGAUAAAAAUAACAUGUCAUCCCAUUUAUCGGAUAAUUGUAAAUAAUUGCUAAAAAAAACUACUUUACAACCGAAUAUACGCCUUUAAAAUUUAACCUAAUUUUGAAGAUCUACUCCUCCAAGCUCCAACUGGAAAGUUUUAUGGUAUAAUAUGUAUAAUUGUGAAUAAUAUGUUGUUAAUAAUUUUUUAUGGUAUAAUAUGGAUUUUUUUUAUGAAUAAUUGUUAAUAAUAUGUACCAUUAAUAAUUCAUUUUUUUUAAUCAAAAAAAUGUAUUGUUAAUAACAAAAUAAAAAAAAUUGUGUAUUAAAAAUUUACGUUAAUUUUUGGGGUAAAUUUAUCUUUUUACCUUAUAUUUUGAGUUUCAAGGGCAAAAUAGCCAAUUUGUCACAAUUCUGUUAACUUUCUAAUGGAAGUUAACGGAUUGGUGGAUGGCAGAAGUGUUUUGUCAACUUAGGAUAUACGAGUAAUACACUUGAAAAGUGUUCUCAACUUAGGGUAUACGAGUAAUACACUUGAAAAGUGUUCUCAACUUAGGGUAUACGAGUAAUACACUUGAAAAGUGUUCACACACGUUUGAUACGGGUGUCAUUUAAGGGUAUAUGGCUGAUAAUUUCCCUAAAAUUUAUUUCAUUAAAUUUGCACUAUAUAAGAAAGGGAAGAGUUAUGCCAUUGACAAAUAUUGAGCGCUUGAAUUAGUUGUGUAAUCAAUUGAUUAUUCAUUACAACUAUCAUCUUAUUGUCAUUUAAUUUUUUCAUGAUAUUAUAUAUAUUUUAUAGCAGUUUAAUGACAAGCACGGACAAAAAAUAAAUUCCACUUGAGAAGUUGAAGGAUACGACCUUUGGUUAUGAAUGCGUCAAGGGUUGGAGAGCUGGAAGAAGAAGAAGAGAAGAAAAAUGUUGCAGAAAAUCAUGAAUUAAUUUCAAGCAUAUGUUGGUUAUUAACAUGAGUUUAUAAAGUAUAAUAUAAAAUUUUUAACAAUAGAAUUAAUAAGUAGAUGAGUUUACAAAGUAAUUUGGUGGGUUCAAAUAUACUCACUCUUUAAAAUAAUUAGUUUUUACUCUGCACACUCUUUUUUUUUUUUUAUGAGAAAGUAAAGCUUUCAAUUGAUUAAGAAGAAGAGAACAACAUCAACACCUGGACAGGGAAAUCACCUAUCCAGGUGACAGCUUCCUCAAACUCAAGAGCUACAUUAGCUAAGUUAUGGGCAAUUACAUUACACUUUCUUGGGACAAAACGAAUAGCUGCCGAGGCUUGGUUUUUCAACUCUGCUUGUAUUUCUUCAAUGUUCCAACAAAUUUUAGCUCAACUUUCCUUCUUGUUUAAAGUGAGCUCCACAACUUCCUUCAAGUCUGAUUCAACAAUGAAUUGGGCACAAUUUGUUUUCUGACCUACUUGAAUACCGAGCAGCACUGCUUCUGCCUCCAUGUUUGCCACAUUUCCUUUUAAAGCUACUCUCUUAACAGCUGCAGCCACGAUCUCAUAAAAUACUAAAAAAGCUACUCUCUUAAUUCUGCACACUCUUUAAAAUACUAAAAAAGUCCUCAAUAAAACCUUUAAGUAAAUCAAUUAAGAAUUUCAAGUUAAAAUAAAUCUAUACAUGUAAUCACAAUUUAUUAAAAAUGGUAGUAAAACUUUUAUAUUUGAAGUCAAGUACUUAAUUACCAAACUUAAAUAAAUUAAACAAUUAAAAUUUAUUCAUCUUUUUAAAUUUUAAACUAUUAUUAGUCAAAAGUUUCAAAAAUAAAUUAAACUCAACUUAACAUAAAGCUAUUUGGGUGUCAUUGUUUCUUUGUCAUACACUCUACCUUUUUUUUUAAGAACCUACUGUUGAUAGUUUUUCUAUCAAAAACUCCUCAAAAUAUUUAAAUUUUAUCUUCUAACUUGUCCUCUUGGUUAAUGUAACUAAUAACUAAAAUCUCAAAAUUCACAUAAAAGUUUAUGAAAUGUUGAUAGAUAGUUGUUACUAUAUAUCUUUUUUUGUAAGUAUUGGCAUUUUUUCAAUUAAAUUAUUUUUAUAAAUAAAUUAAAACAGUAAUAAUAUUUUAGUCCCCAAAUCUUUUCAAUCUAUUCAAUAAAUAUAUAAUUUAAUUAUUUCAUGAAAUAAGUCACUAAUUCCAACUGGGAAGAAAAUAUAAUUGAAUUAGGAACAUGUUUGAAAAUAAAAUAAAAACUCUAUUAUUUUAUAAAACUGAUUUAAAAAAAACAUAAGGGUAGUUAAAUUAGGGACAUAUAUAAAAAAAAUAAAACUAUAUUAUUAUCUAAAAUUAAUAAAAAAAAUAAGGGGUAUAAAUAACUUUCCUGGACUAAUCCGGGCUACACCCCCGCUUAGGUCCGCUUGCGCACUCAUUACUCCAAAUACAACGUUUAAAAUUUAAAAUCAAAUUUUUACUAUGUAAAAGGGAUAUUAUCAUUUUUCCACCAAAGGUAUUCUGACACAUCAUGUCAGUACCAUGGUUUGAUAAAACUAUCAUUUUACCACCAAACGUUUAAACUGUUAGCAUUUUCCCACCAUUUCGUUAAAACUCAGUUAAUAUUUAACGAAAAAUUAUUAAAAGGUCAAUUUUACCCCUAGAGCGUAAAAGACGAUUUUGCCCUUUAAGAAUGAACAACAAUAAGUGAUGAUUAAAUUACAAAAAUAACCCCAAAAGUAGCUGUUACAUUCAAAUAACGGCUACUUUUAUGCUUAUAAGAGCUGCUGCUGGUUGCCAUUUCAACCCGCAACCAGCAACCCCAAAUCAAAGGCCAGCAAGUAGGGGUGGGCAAAAUCGGGUUCGGAUCAACCCGAUCAGAUUUCGGGUUGAUCGGGUUGGAGAGAAACUCAUCCGAACUCAACCCGAAUUUUAGAUCAGAUCGGAUCGGAUCGGGUUAUAUUCGGGUCGGAUCUAAAAUUCGGAUCAAUUUCGGGUCAAUUCGGGUUAAGGACAAAAAAAGUCAUUUGUGUUAAUUUUGGGUUGUUUAAUAAUUAUUUAAUAAUUACAAGAUCACUUUUAUGCAAUUAGUUCAUUUUAGUCCAUUUCCACUUUCCAAUGACUGUCAUAAAAAAAAUAUAAACUGAAAUAGAAUUGAAAAAGUUGUGAGCUUGGAGGACUUGGUGUCAUGAAUCUCAGUCUCGGUCUCGUUGGAAGAACAACCAUGGAUCACUUCGCGCGGGUCAAGCAGCAGCCGAUGGAUCAAGCGGCAACGGGUUUCGUCGAUGGCUCAUGGCUUCACAGGUUUUGUCGGUGGCUACCGGAAAAGCAGAUCCAAUCGAAGUGAAGUGCAGCAACCGUCGAUGCAGCAGCAAGCAGAUCCUGUCGUCAGUGCAGCAGAUCUGGUCGAGUGGUGUGCUGCAUAUGGCCGUUGCUGUGCUAACCGUCUGUAGUUUUGUUGUUGCGAGAAAGAAGAGAAAGAAGACAGUGAAGAGAAAAAAGAGAGUUGUUUGUGUGAGUUGUGAGAAAGAAGAGAAAGAAGAUAGUGAAGAGAAAGAACACGGAGAGUGAGAAAGAAGAGAAAGAAGAGAGUGAAGAGAAAGAACACAGAGAGUGUUGGUGUGAGUCUGUGAGCCAUAGUGUUCGUAUAUGUUCUGUUUAGCCAUUUAGGUUGUUUGUGUGUGGCGUGUGUGUUUAGAUUUAGGUUUUUUUUUUUAAAGCAACCCGAUCGGGUUUUCGGAUCGGAUCGGAUUUGACCUGAUCCGAUCACAACCCGAUCGGAUUUCCUUUAUAACCCGAUCCGAUCCGAUCCGAACCCGAAAUUUUUCGGGUCGGGUCGGGUAUUUUGCCCACCCCUACCAGCAACCCCAUUUGAGCACCAACAACCCAGCUGAAAAAGAAAGAAAAUGGCAACCCAGCACAACUACAAGCCACAGUAAACAUUUCAAUACCACUGCACCAGCAAGCCCAAGCCAUUUUUAAACACCAGUAAGCUCAUUUUAUUACUAGCAAUCAUGCCAGGUUUGUACAUGCAGGUUUAAAAAGUGUAAUUUUUGGCAAUGGGCAGCAAAAAAAGAUAUGGAAAUGCGUAACAUUACAUCCAAUCAUGGCAUGAACCUAAAUGAAGAUGUGAUGAAGAUAAGUGAACUACUACGAUGCAUUGAAGCGAAACUGAAAUUGGUCGUAGUUUUUAUUUGUGGCAUUGUGAUAGGCUUAUUUAUGAGGAAGUAAUGUAAUAAACAUGAAAAAAUAUUGUAGCAAUCAAUCAUUGUAGCUGAAGAUGUAAUGAAGCAUUAUAGUUUAAGAUGUAAUGCAACUGGAAAGUAAUCAAAACAGUUUGUGGAUUCCAAAAACAUAACAGCAACUUAAUGCACUAAUAUAAAGUUUGUGCAUCCAAAAUACAUAACAACAACUUAAUGCAUUAAUAUAAAGUUUGUGCAUCUAAAAUACAUAACAGUAACUUAAUGCACUAAUAUAAAGUUUUGUGCAUCUAAAAUACAUAACAGCACCUUAAUGGUUAUUUCAUACAGCAUCUAAUAUCUGUGAAGCUUGUGAGCCUUGAGUUGGAUUCGGGGAAACAUUAUCAGCUUCAUAUUGGCCAGGACAAAAAAAUUAUUACCUCAUUAUCUAAGACCAACAGUAGCUAUUUGCAGACAUCAAACAUUAAUUUGAAACAAUAACUUACCAUUGUUACGUCUUCUUACUCCAUCGCCUCUUGCUCUUGCUCUGUUACUCCUUUGGCCCCUUCGGCCUCUAUUCCUUCCUCUUCCUCUAUUACCAGUACCUCAUCUUCCUCUAUGAGCAAUAAAGCUCUCUUGUGAACCACCUACAGCCUAUUUAAAUUGAAAUAUAUAAAUAAUCAAAUCAUCAAUAUUUAUAACAAACUAAAAAUUACUCAAUGAAUAACAAUAAACAAAUUACCACUUUCUUUGUCCUCUUUGAAGUACUUGCUGCAUUAGAACUUUCUCCCGGCCCACUAACUCCCUAUUUAAAAUUACAUAGAUAACAAACAAUAAAAAAUUAAUUUCAAUACACAUAAAAACAAUUAAAACAUUAGGUUAAGUGGCUGUUACCUGCUGAGCUCUUAAUUAUCUUGCUAUCGAUGGCCUUAAUGCACAUUUCCUGACAUUGUGGUUCAUCCCACCACAAAAUGAGCAGCAGAUAUAAAAUGAUUUUUUUUUUUUUAUUGGCUCAGUGGCUGCCCUUUUCCUUGACAUUUUUGGUCUACCAAUCUUCUUGGUAAUCUCAGGUGGAAAGAGCUUGGGCCUAUCACAAGGGUCCCAUGUAACUUUGUUAGGAAUUGGCUUGAACAUCACUGCAUAUGUGUUCAAGUACGCCUCUUUGCCGAAGUAUUUUGGUAGAUACUCUGUUGCUGUGUGUCUAGCAUGACUAAUUGCAGCCAUAACAUGAGUACAGGGGAUUCCAGCUAGGUCCCAAUAACCACAAUCACAAGACCUGCUCAUGAGAUCGACAAUGAACCUCCUUGUUGGAUAAUAACCCUUGUGUUUAACCUAACAAAAAUUACAUAAUGAUUAAAUAAUAAUUAUAAGGUUGAGGAAAAAAAAUUGAUUAACCUAACAAACAUUCAGGUUCAGGAAAAAAUUAAUUAUAAGGAACAUGAGUUAGAAUUAUACUUGAAAGUGAAGAUCCCCAGAAGCCAUUACAUUCAUCUUGCUUCCACAUUCAUAUGCAACAUCCAAUUCUUUUUUCACUCUAGGUGGAAUGUUGGUCUAAGAUUGUGCUUCUUUUUUCCUUUUUGUGAAGAGUGUCAUGAACAUGCAUCUAAUUUCUUCAAGCAUGUUCAAGCAAGGCUUCUCUCUGUGGGGUAAUAUCCAACUAUUAAAACACUCUGAAGUGUUGUUAGUUGUACGAUCUACCUUGCAAUUCUUGUCAUACUCAUGUCUUGACCAAGUAAACCCAGCAAGCUCAGUCUCCAGCCACUGCCAUGCCUCUAACUUCUCUUUUUUGAGGUUUUCCAUUGCAAUAGCGUAAUCAUACUUGUUAGUGCUACUGACAGCCCUCCAAAACAGAUUUCUCAAACUAACACCAGGAUGUUCUUUGUAGAAGUUAGUAUAUAUAUGCCUAGCACAUGGUCUAUGAUAUGCAGUAGGCCAAGUUAUCUCAAUGGCCCCCAACAAACCCUUUUGCCUAUCUUAGCAAAAUGUAAUAUGCUCUAAGCCAUUAUCAAAAUACGAAUGCAGAAUUUCUAAAAACCACGACCAGGUUUCAGUAUUCUCUAUCUCACACACUGCUAAUGCUAAUGGGACCAUUCCAUUAUUAGCAUCCAUACCUGUUGAGUGUUAGAAAAUGCAUAUUUAUAAAGGAGAAAACCGUCAUUUUACAUUUCAAGUCUUAUUAACAACCCUUACUUUUAUGUAUUUAACCUUCUUGUGAUUUAAUUACAUGUCUUUUAUUUUAAUUAAGUAUUUUAUGUAUUUUAGGGGCAUUAUAGUCAUUUCACAAUAAAGGAGAGAUCAGAUGGCAAAACGGACAUCACUUUUGAACUCAGGACGGUCGAAAACCUUAGGAGGAGCAUAAAAGGAAAAAUGACACUAUUCACAUGUACGGUACUAUUCACGUAUACGGUACUGUCUACGUUACUGUUCACGAAACUGUUCACAUAGACGGAUCGAUGACGUGGCAUUGACCGAUGAUGUGGCAUUGACUGAUGAGGUGUCACGAUCCUGUUGGACUAAACUUCUUAUGUACUGUUGAUGGUGACGUGGCAGCAUAUCAGUGGAUGAAAAAUCUCGCGUACGGUGCAUGCAUCACACAGGAUUAUUUUCAACCAAACCGCGUUACUGUUCAUCCGGGUCAAACCGUGUUACUGUUCAUCCGCGUGGUCAAACCGUGGACUGUUGACUGAUGACGUGGCGCAAUCCUGAGCGUCCAAACUAUUUUUAAUCCGAUGGCCAUGAUUUACUCCAUGUAUCUAUAAAAAGGGGGCCUCCCCCCCCUAAUUUGAUAUCUCUGAAUCCAUUUUUGGGAUCCAUUUUCUGUAAUUCCCUCUCCAUCUUGUAUUUUCUUUGUAUUUUAAUAAAUUCCCAUUUUGCCCCUAGUUCAAUUAUGAGUGGCUAAUUUUCUUUCAAGCUUGGGUUGAAGGUGAAGUCUCAACAUGUGUCAUGGGCUUUAUUUGGUAAAUUUAUUUUCUUUUCCCCUCUAGUUUUUGUGGAUGAUUUGACUUAUCGUCGACAAAUAAUACUGAUCUUGUCUAGAUACCGCCUUGGUUACACCGGCUCUCUAGUAUAAGGUUAUUAUUAUUUGGCACGAUAAGCCCUUAGCACCAUAUUGAUUAGAGCGUGGUUCAUGAGGUGUGGAUCCCCCCCUCAUGAUUUAAUUGGCAUUAAUACGGAUUAUUUAGCCCAUGAUGCAUGUUGAUACGGAUCCAGAUACCCAAGUACGUCAUUUCAAUAGAUUUCGCUUCAACUUAUUCUCGCCAUUGCAAUUCCAAUUUUAGAAUUUAUUAUCGCAAUUUCAAUUCCAAUUUUAGGAUAAUUUAAAUCACUUCCACCACAAUUCCAACCACCCAUUUUGCAAAAUUAAUUCUAUACACAAUUAAAAUCCUCCUCCUCGUGGGAUCGACACUCGUCACCAUUGAUCUACACUACAAUAGAUUCAUGCGCUUGCGAGUACAUUAAAAUUUGCACAACAAGUUUUUGGCGCCGUUGCCCGGGGAGGUAAGUAAUUUUAAUUCAUAGAAUUAAUUUUUGUGAAUAAUUUCUUUUAAAUUGUUUUCUUGUAUUUUUUUUAUUAAAAAAAAAAAGGUGAAUCUGCAUUUAAAGGUUAGUAUUUCUUUUCUUUUUCUCUUCUUUAAAAUUCUGUAAUUUAAUUUUCAAUUUAUUUUUUUCUUUGUAAUUUUUAUUUAUUUUAUUAAUUUAAUUUUUAGUUAAUUUAUUUCACGUAUUUGUUUUUGUGUAUUUUUAUAAAAAGGUUGUAAUAGCGCAAUAAGGUUAGUAUCGUAAUUUCUCCCUCUUCUUUAUUUUUAUUUGUUUUGUUCCCAUCUUUAUUUUUAUUUUAUUUGUUUUGCAUGCAUGGUCGUAGGUCAUUAUUACCUAAUCUUGAACCUAUAGACCUUGAAUUAGAAAAAACACUUCGCACACAAAAGCACAUUAAAAAUAAAUUUGGAAUGGAUUUACAAGCACCACAGGAGAGGCCAUUUAAGGACUAUUUUAGUCCCUUAGCUAAUUUGAGCACAUCAUGCAUAAGAUACCCAAAUGUAGCUGCUAGGAGUUUUGAAUUAAAACCUAGUGUGCUAAAUUGUCUCCCCACAUUCUAUGGCUUAGAAAAUGAGGACCCAUAUAAUCAUCUGAAUGAUUUUCAUACCAUUUGUCAAACUUUUAAAUAUGAAAAUUUUUCAGACGAUGAUGUUAAACUCAGAUUAUUCCCAUUUUCUUUAAAGGAUAGAGCUCGUUCAUGGCUUAAUACAUUGCCUGCUAAUAGCAUUGCAUCAUGGGAACAAAUGGUUACAAAAUUUCUAAAUAAAUAUUUCUCAGUGCAUAAAACUAAUUCUAUUCGCAGGGAAAUUUCAGAGUUUACACAAAGAGAGGACGAGCAGUUUUUCGAAACUUGGGAGCGAUUCAAUGGGCUACUCUUGAAGUGUCCACAUCAUGGGUACGAAAAAUGGCAUCAAUGCCAAUACUUUUUGGAGGGAUUAUUGCCGAAUGUGCAAGAAUGGCUAAUGGCAACAAGUAGAGGAGAGCUAAUGUCAAAAAGCGCAACAGAGAUUUGGGAAUUCUUCCAGCGACAAGCGGAUAAUUCCCAACAACGGAGUCGAUCAUUCAGGAAUACUAGAAAAAUUAAAGGAGUAAAUGAGGUUCACAUUGGCGAGUCAACUUCGGAAAUCAAAGAAGUCAAGGAGAUGGUUGAAGGUCUUGCUCGACAAAUAGCAUCGUUAUCGACUGCUAAAUCAACAGAAUCACAUGACCAUGACUCAUAUUCAGAUCAAGCCAAUGCCAUAGGUGUAAUGAGAAAACCAUCGAAUUACAACCCAUACUCCAACACAUAUAAUCCUGGAUGGAGAGAUCACCCCAAUUUUUCAUGGUCUCAAGGAUUCCAACAGAAUGGACCAACAGCUCCAGCUCCACUACUGCAACCAAUUCCUCAAAAUCCUCAAGCCUCUCAGCCACCAUUCAGACCAUACAAUCAGAACCAGAACUACUCUCAACCCAGACCAUGGGAGGAUGCAUUCCAGAAUUUCAAGAAUGUUACUCAUUCUACCAUUGAGCAACAGAACCGCACCAUUGAUGGACUACGAAAUGAAUUGAGAGCGGGCUUUAACUCACAAGCCCAAUCAGUUUCAAGCCUCGAGAAGAUGGUGGGACAACUCGCUUCUUCAGUUCAGACAUUGGCAAUGACUAUUGAGAAAGGCAAGUUUCCAAGUCAACCAGUGCCUAAUCCUAAAGGAGUACAUGAAGCAAGUACCAGUUCACCACAGCAGCAUGGGGAGGUCAAAGCAGUCAUGACCUUGCGAAAAGGAAAAGAAGUCGACAACAAAGUGGAGAUGCCGGUGACCAAAGAAAAUCAAAUUGUACCUGUGAAUGUUGAAGACUCACCACCGGAGGAAAAAGAAGAAACCAACCCACGAGAAUAUGUUCCUAAAGCUCCAUUUCCUCAGAGGUUAGCGAAAGGAAAGAAGGGAAAAUCCACAGGUGAGAUUCUCGAAAUCUUCAAACAGGUAAGUGUUAACAUCCCUUUACUUGAUGCUAUUAAACAAGUUCCAUCUUAUGCCAAGUUUCUUAAAGACCUUUGUACUAAAAAGAGAAACAUGCAUGUUCAAAAGAAGGCAUUUUUAACAGAAAACGUUAGUUCUAUACUCCAACAUAAAAUUCCUUUAAAAUGCAAAGACCCAGGCUCCCCCACUAUCUCAUGUAGUAUAGGGAACCACACAAUUGAGAAUGCUUUGUUGGAUUUAGGAGCUAGUGUAAAUUUGUUGCCUUAUUCAGUAUUUGUGAAACUUGGACUGGGAGAAUUACACCCAACUCCAGUGGUGUUACAGCUUGCAGAUCGGUCCACGAAAAUACCUCGUGGUAUUGUGGAGGACGUGCUUAUCCAGGUAGACAAGUUUUAUUUUCCUGUUGAUUUCAUUGUAAUUGACACUCAACCAAUACAGGACUCAAGGAAGCACAUCCCCAUUAUUCUAGGCCUACCUUUCUUGGCAACUGCGGAUGCUCACAUUCAAUGCAGGACUGGAAAUAUGCAGUUGUCCUUUGGCAACAUGACUAUGGAGCUAAACAUUUUCAACAUUGCCAAACAACCUCAUAGUCCAGAUGAUGGAAUUGUUGAUGUGGAUUUAAUAGAAACAAUAGUCGAUAAUACUUUUAUUUCAAACCUUAGUGAUGACCCUUUACAGACAUGCUUAACUCACUUUGGUUUGAAUUUUGAUAUUGACAGAUCGGUCGAUGAGGUCAACACUCUACUUGACUCAGCACCAUCCAUGGACACUAAUAAAUGGAAGUCAAGAGUUGAACAACUAGCACCAUCAGAGAAGAAAAUCAUCCCAUCAUCAGAAUCACCACCGAAACUCGAGCUCAAACCAUUACCCAACACAUUGGAAUAUGCGUUUUUGGGAGAAGAAAGCACUCUACCGGUAAUCAUCUCAUCAUCCCUAAACGACGAACAAAAAGGUAAGUUAUUGGAUGUUUUAAAAGAGCACAAAGGAGCAUUAGGAUGGACCAUAGCAGAUAUUAAAGGUAUAAACCCAGUAGACUGCAUGCAUUACAUUCACCUUGAUGAAAAUGCUAAAACUACUAGGGAAAUGCAACGUCGGUUAAAUCCUAAUAUGAAAGAAGUUGUUAGAACAGAAGUCCUUAAGCUAUUAGAUGCAGGUAUCAUUUACCCAAUUUCUGAUAGUUCAUGGGUCAGUCCUGUACAAGUUGUCCCCAAAAAGUCAGGAGUCACAGUAGUUACCAAUGCUGAUAAUGAAUUGAUACCAACUAGAGUAACUACAGGAUGGCGUGUAUGCAUUGAUUAUAGAAAAUUGAAUUAUGUCACACGUAAAGACCAUUUUCCUUUACCAUUUAUUGAUCAAAUGCUUGAUAGAUUAGCAGGCCAUGAAUUUUAUUGCUUUCUGGAUGGUUAUUCAGGAUAUAAUCAGAUUCCCAUAGCACCAAAAGAUCAGGAGAAAACUACUUUCACUUGCCCUUUUGGCACUUUUGCAUAUAGGAGAAUGCCAUUUGGAUUAUGUAAUGCACCUGCUACAUUCCAACGAUGCAUGUUGAGCAUUUUUUCUGAUAUGGUUGAACGAUUCCUUGAAGUCUUUAUGGAUGAUUUUUCUGUCUUUGGUGACUCGUUUGAUCAAUGUUUACAUCAUCUAACGCUAGUUCUGCAGAGAUGUAUCGAGAAGAACUUAGUCUUAAAAUGGGAGAAGUGUCAUUUUAUGGUAAAACAAGGUAUUGUUCUCAGUCACAUCAUUUCAAGCAAAGGUAUUGAGGUUGACAAAGCCAAGGUGGAUCUCAUUUCUAAUCUUCCUCCACCUAAAACAGUCAGAGAAGUAAGAUCUUUCCUUGGGCAUGCUGGUUUCUAUAGACGUUUCAUUAAAGAUUUUAGCAAAGUUUCUAGACCCUUAUGCAAUUUACUUGCUAAGGAUGUACCUUUUAUCUUUAAUGAUUCAUGUCUUAUGGCUUUUGAAAAAUUAAAGCGAUUGUUGACAUCAUCACCCAUCAUUCAGGCCCCAAACUGGAGUUUACCAUUUAAGCUCAUGUGUGAUGCAUCUGAUUAUGCAGUAGGAGCAGUAUUAGGACAAAGAGUUGAUCGAAUUCCCCAUGUUAUUUACUAUGCUAGUAUGACAUUGAAUAAUGCACAGUUGAACUAUUCAACUACUGAAAAAGAAAUGCUAGCAGUAGUGUUUGCAUUAGAGAAAUUUCGAUCUUAUCUCAUUGGUUGUAAAAUAAUUAUAUUCACAGAUCAUGCUGCUCUUAAAUAUCUUCUCAUAAAGAAAGAUGCAAAAGCUAGACUAAUUCGUUGGGUGUUACUUUUGCAGGAAUUCGACUUGGAAUUCAAGGAUAAGAAAGGCACAGAGAAUGUUGUAGCGGACCACCUCUCUCGUCUCCAUUUUGACACAAUUACAGAAUCAUUACCAUUGAAUUAGUCAUUUCCAGAUGAACAAUUAAUGAAUGUGGAAGUAUUACCUUGGUAUGCUGAUAUAGUUAAUUAUCUUGUUACAGGUAAACUUCCAGAGCAUUGGACCAAGCAAGACAAGGCUAAAUUCUUUGCGGAAAUAAAGAAUUUCUUUUGGGAUGACCCGUAUUUGUUCAAGUAUUGUGCAGACCAAAUUGUUAGACGAUGUGUCCCUGAAAAUGAAAUUCAGAAUAUUCUUUCAUUCUGCCAUGCACAAGCUUGUGGAGGCCAUUUCAGUGCUAAGAAAACAGCGACUAAAGUUUUACAAUGUGGUUUCUAUUGGCCAACUAUAUUUCGAGAUGCUUACACUUUCUGUUCUUCAUGUGAUAGGUGUCAACGAAUGGGGAGCAUUACACGAAGGAACAUGAUGCCACUAAAUCCAAUUUUAGUGGUUGAGAUUUUUGACGUAUGGGGUAUCGACUUCAUGGGACCCUUUCCUCCGUCUUUUGGUCAUCAAUACAUAUUGGUUGCUGUUGACUACGUAUCGAAAUGGGUGGAAGCAAUUCCAUGCAGAACCAAUGAUCACAAAGUGGUGAUAGGAUUUUUGAAAAGCAACAUUGUUUCACGCUUUGGAUUCCCUCGAGCGAUAAUCAGUGAUGGUGGUGCCCACUUUUGUAACAAAGCAUUCAAAGCUCUUUUGACAAAGUAUUCAAUCACCCACAAAGUGGCGACUCCGUAUCAUCCGCAAACCAGUGGCCAAGUUGAGAUCUCCAAUCGAGAAAUAAAGCACAUAUUAGAAAAGACGGUGAGGCCAGACAGGAAAGAUUGGUCAUUACGACUUGAUGAUGCAUUAUGGGCAUAUAGAACGGCUUUCAAGACCCCGAUUGGGAUGUCACCCUACAGGCUAGUGUAUGGAAAAGCUUGCCACCUACCUGUGGAACUCGAGCAUCGUGCAUAUUGGGCCAUCAAGAAAUUCAACUUUGACAUGCAGCAAGUCAGCUCAGAAAGAAGAUUACAGCUGGCAGAACUUGAAGAAAUUCGCAAUGAUGCAUACGAAAAUGCCAAGAUUUACAAGCAACGAAUGAAAGUCUUCCAUGAUAAGCAAAUUAUGAGAAAAUCGUUCACUCCAGGUCAGAAAGUGUUUUUAUUCAAUUCUCGCUUGCACCUAUUCCCAGGUAAGUUACGCUCUCGAUGGUCUGGUCCCUUUAUUGUUCAUACUGUUUUUCCACAUGGGGCAAUUGAAAUUAAAGACCCAAAGAACGGUGUCACGUUUAAAGUUAAUGGUCAAAGAUUAAAGCCAUAUCUAGAGUACCAACCACAUGAAGAAGACACCGAAAUAAAUUUGAGUGACCCACCAGAUUUGAAUUAAUUUUUUUUCUCUUUUUAUUGAUUUGAUUUUUCUUUCUUUCUUUUUAUUAUUCUUUUGCUAAUUGAAAUUGUUUUUGCAUAAGUGUGUUUAUUUUACCAUUAAGUUUUCUCUUAUCAUUUUUAAUCAUGAGUCUCCUACUUAGACCGUUCCUCCUGAACAUUCUUAAACCACUUCAACGUGUCAAAACUCAUCUCAAAAGGCAGAUUCUAUUUUGUAAAACACAACGCAUUUGGGCUCUACAACCACCAGAGUUAGUAGCCUAUGUUGAGGGUUUAGAACGCCAACUCAGAGAUAUUGAGAGAAGUGUUUACGACAUCCAGUUGGAGCUUGAGGUAAAUUCAAUAAGAGGACGAUUUUAAUUUUCUUUGUGUGUUUUGAUUUGUUUUUCUGUUUGUGUGCUUUAGUUUGUUACCCCGGUGAAGUGGCGGAUAACGGUACUCCGUGACAAUCAAGUCGGUUAACUUCAGUUUCCCAUAAUAACUGAUAUUCUGAGGCGAAGGUAUGGAUACAAACGAGAUUUUAGCAAAGCUUCACAAGCGAUUCCCUUCACUUCCUCAGAAUGCCCUCCUUACGAUCUAUAAAGCCCGGUCUGAACGCAUGCGAUUGCUCAUGAGGAAUAACAUACCUGCAGACAUCCGUUGGUUAAUCGAGGCUAAAGUACGAUCGGCAGGUGAGUUACCUCCAAAAUUUAUUGCAUUCAUGCCUGGUUGUGGUAAAGGAAAUUAUGCAAGAAAACGACGAGCUCGAAGAAUUUCUGUUGCUUGUCAUAAGUGUGCCAGAAUGAGUUGCGAUAAAAACCCAUGUUCUUUAGGAAUGGUGUCUGAUAACAGGGAAGAUAAGAUUCAAUUCAUUAGGGAUGGCUUGAAUAAGGAGUCAUUGGAUGAUAUCCUUUUGUCUCUUGAAACGCAUCCUAGUGGAUAUGUGCAAGGAGCGAUUCUCCAGUUAUGGCCAUUAUUCCAGAAAGAGCAUGCACGAUAUAGUCUCGGGAAUCUGACUAUAAACGACCCUGUUUGCCAGUUUAUAAGAAAACUGGAUAGGAAGCCUAUCCUCGACCCAUAGAGGGCGUUCAAGCCGUUUCUGGACGUAAAACCAGAGGAAGAUGUGAGCCACAGUCGCAACUACCUGUAAAUAUCCUUUUACUUUACUGUUGUUUUAUUUUACUGUUGUUUUAUCGUUUGUAUUAUUAUCUUUAAUAAUUUUAUUACUGUUUGCUUUUUCCUUUUUACUGUUUCCUUUUUGACUCGCGAGCCACGUGCUUUACGCGUUAUUUGACACUGACAUGUUACCUCAUUCACAGCUGUGAUCCACUGUCACCAAGAUUCUUAAAUGUGAUUUAUCUUUUGUCAAGCACUCACAAAUUAUUUUUGAGAAGUAUCACAAUGGCAGCUACUCCCAAUAGACAAUUCAAGAACAUUUGUGUGCUUUCUGGAUUUACCUAUGGCAAACAUAAAGAGUUCGUGGAGGCAGCCAUAGAUCUUGGUCGAAGCAUAGCAGCGAGAAAAUUACAUUUGGUGUAUGGAGGAGGUAACCGAGGGUUAUCAAAAAUGGUCUCAGAAGCAGCUUUUAUCAGAGGAAGUCAAGUGUUAGGCAUCAUCCCAAGAGUCCUAAAACCAUUGGGCAGUUCAUCUAACUCAUCAACUGGAGAAGAGUUAGUCGUCUCAGGUAUGCAAGAAAGAAUAACUGAAAUGCUUAAUCAUGUUGAUGCUUUUAUUUUCCUUCUAGGAGAUCUUGCAACACUAGAGGCACUUAUGACACUAGCAUCUUGGGCCCAUCUGCACAUCCACCAGAAACCCAUCGGUUUGUUAAAUGUCAAUAACUUUUAUGAUGGCUUUAUCGCAUUUCUUAACCAUGCAAUAAAAAACUAUUUCAUUCCUUCUAAUGUGAAAAAACUCUUUAUUUGUGCUCACACUGCUAAUGAGCUACUUGAUAUGUUACAAGCUUAUAAACCGGAGCCAGACCCCUGGACCUUUGUGUUGGAGCGACCAAAUAAUGAUGGUAACAGUAGCCGCAGUAAGAAGUACAAAUUAGAUUUAACUCUCCGCCUGUAAAUAUUUUCUUCUGUGUUGCACCACCCAGGUGAUGUCUUCUAAACUCUACUUCUUUCCUUUAAAACAUUGAGGACAAUGUUUCGUUCUGGUUGGGGGGAGGGAAUAGUCGACAAUUGUGGAAUCUUGGUUAAGUUUUUACUAAUUUUUUGUUGUAGAAACUAACUGUUGCUAACGUUUUGUGUUGAAGAUGGCUGAAUAUGGAGUGUAGUUACUCUAGAAACGCAUCUUCAUCGUUUUAAAAAAAAAAAAAAAAACUCGUUUGCUUCCUCUUUCUCCUUUAUAAAUAUGUAGUUUCAAAUUUUUGAGUCGAAGAUGGCUGAAUAUGGAGUGUAGUGCCUCUAGAAACGCAUCUUCUUAGUUAAAAAAAAAAAAAUCUUUUUCUAAUUAAUUUUUCUACAUCAUUUUCACAUUUCUGCAUGCAUAUUUUCCUUUCAUGUUUAGAAUAGGUUGGGGGGUAGAAUGUUGUUUAAAAAAAAAAAAAAUUUGUGUUAUUUGUUUUAACAUUGGAUGACAUGAUUAAUUUCAAAUUUUAGUAUUUGUAUUAUCUUUGGUCUUAAGUGAUGUUACGCUAUGUUUGCUACUUUACAUGUUGAUGUCGGAGACAAAUAUGAGUUGCUUGAAGGAAUGAACAUGUCAUAAAUAAGUGCCAAGUGAGUUGUUGAGCCUAUCAUUUUCUUGGAGAGUAACCCUUUUGCCCAUUCUCUAUACAGCUUAGCAGUUUAUUAUUUUAUACACGAUCUCUAGAUUUCUUUUGAGUUAACCCUUUAAAAAAAAUGGUAAAAAUAAAAAAAAUAAAAAAUGUGUGUUGCUAUAUUGGGAUGCCCAUUUAACUAGUAGAUAUGGAUAAUUAUUUAGAGCCCUAAAAAACGAUGGAAAGGCCAUCUUUGAUCCGUUUGAGCCUUUCUAGCCAUCCCUGUUAUUAAAUAUCCAUAGUUACCCCUUUUGAGCCUUUAAAAAAAAAAAAAAAUCUUUUCUUUGUCAACUUAUCAUCUUGACCCACUCCGAUUUGGAGUAUUACUCAAUGUCUUUUAAGUUCCAUCACCUAUUUAUGUUUGAGAAAAUGUAAAUAAUUAUGUUGUUCAGUGAAGUUAUGCCAAAAAAAUAAAAAAUAAAAACAAAAAAUAAAAACAAAAACAAAAGUUGUUGUUUCAAAAGAAUAAAAAUAACAAUAAUAGGUGAAAUCCACCUUGCAAGUUCCAAAAAAAAAAAAAAAAAUCUGCAUUUUUCUCAAACAUACACUUUGUUUUCCUUAUUUCCCUUCUUUGUUAGCCAUAUCCCUAGCCUACGUUACGUCCUAAUAAAAGUCCUUCUUGAUUUUAGGAAACUAUAGUUUGAAGUAGAAGCUAGUUAUAUGGGCUAAAAAGAUGUAGUGAUGCAUAAUAAAAAAAAAAGAUAAAUAAAGUGGGUUGACUAACAUUUUAUUUGACUUGAGAUCGUAUUAUUUCUAAGCUGAGGGCAUAUUUAUUUCAUCUUGGUGAGAGCAUGUGAUAUCAUUUCUUUAUUAUUUUCUCUCUCAAUUACCAUUCAUUGGAGUGACUAUGUUUAUUGGGUUUUAAUUUCUUUGUGAGAGUGUCACUACUUCCAGUGAGAUUUUGGGGUUUGACAUGUCAUUCUUGAAAGUAGCUAUAACAAAGUCUACUGGGCUAAUUCAUGUGGAUGGUUGAUGUGGGUGUGAUGUUGCUUUAGACUGAAGAUAAUGCUUAUACUUUUAUUUGAUUGCUAUCAUUAAUCUGAUUGAAUAAACACGAGUGUUCCCAUAAAAAAAAAAAAAAAAUCAUUUUGAAUUUGAAUUUUGUUUUCGCUUUAUUUGCUAGGGACUAGCAAUAAGCUGGUUGGGGGGUGUGUUGAGUGUUAGAAAAUGCAUAUUUAUAAAGGAGAAAACCGUCAUUUUACAUUUCAAGUCUUAUUAACAACCCUUACUUUUAUGUAUUUAACCUUCUUGUGAUUUAAUUACAUGUCUUUUAUUUUAAUUAAGUAUUUUAUGUAUUUUAGGGGCAUUAUAGUCAUUUCACAAUAAAGGAGAGAUCAGAUGGCAAAACGGACAUCACUUUUGAACUCAGGACGGUCGAAAACCUUAGGAGGAGCAUAAAAGGAAAAAUGGCACUAUUCACAUGUACGGUACUAUUCACGUAUACGGUACUGUCUACGUUACUGUUCACGAAACUGUUCACAUAGACGGAUCGAUGACGUGGCAUUGACCGAUGAUGUGGCAUUAACUGAUGAGGUGUCACGAUCCUGUUGGACUAAACUUCUUAUGUACUGUUGAUGGUGACGUGGCAGCAUAUCAGUGGAUGAAAAAUCUCGCGUACGGUGCAUGCAUCACACAGGAUUAUUUUCAACCAAACCGCGUUACUGUUCAUCCGGGUCAAACCGUGUUACUGUUCAUCCGCGUGGUCAAACCGUGGACUGUUGACUGAUGACGUGGCGCAAUCCUGAGCGUCCAAACUAUUUUUAAUCCGAUGGCCAUGAUUUACUCCAUGUAUCUAUAAAAAGGGGGCCUCCCCCCCCCUAAUUUGAUAUCUCUGAAUCCAUUUUUGGGAUCCAUUUUCUGUAAUUCCCUCUCCAUCUUGUAUUUUCUUUGUAUUUUAAUAAAUUCCCAUUUUGCCCCUAGUUCAAUUAUGAGUGGCUAAUUUUCUUUCAAGCUUGGGUUGAAGGUGAAGUCUCAACAUGUGUCAUGGGCUUUAUUUGGUAAAUUUAUUUUCUUUUCCCCUCUAGUUUUUGUGGAUGAUUUGACUUAUCGUCGACAAAUAAUACUGAUCUUGUCUAGAUACCGCCUUGGUUACACCGGCUCUCUAGUAUAAGGUUAUUAUUAUUUGGCACGAUAAGCCCUUAGCACCAUAUUGAUUAGAGCGUGGUUCAUGAGGUGUGGAUCCCCCCCUCAUGAUUUAAUUGGCAUUAAUACGGAUUAUUUAGCCCAUGAUGCAUGUUGAUACGGAUCCAGAUACCCAAGUACGUCAUUUCAAUAGAUUUCGCUUCAACUUAUUCUCGCCAUUGCAAUUCCAAUUUUAGAAUUUAUUAUCGCAAUUUCAAUUCCAAUUUUAGGAUAAUUUAAAUCACUUCCACCACAAUUCCAACCACCCAUUUUGCAAAAUUAAUUCUAUACACAAUUAAAAUCCUCCUCCUCGUGGGAUCGACACUCGUCACCAUUGAUCUACACUACAAUAGAUUCGUGCGCUUGCGAGUACAUUAAAAUUUGCACAACAAUACCCACAGCGGCUAAUAGAACUCCACCAUAUUUUGAUUUCAAGUGACACCCAUCCAACCCGAUAUAUGGCCUACAGCCAUUGUUAAGGGCAUUUUUUUAAGCUGGAAAUGCCAUAAAGAAUCUUUGAAAGAGCACUUUCUCAGGCCUAGUUACAGCAUCACAAAGCACUUUACAAAUUGCACCAGGAUCAUACUUGUGAAUCACUGCAGCAUAUUGAAACAAAUCUUCGUAUCCCCUCGCAUGAUCUCCAUUAAUGUCUUUUCUUGCCCUCUCUCUAGCCCUAUAUAGUUUUAAAUCCCCUAUCCGCACACCAUAAGUCUCCAGCAUAAACUCACGAAGAACAGAAAUCUUCACAUGCGCAUCUACAGCAACUUUGCUCUUAAUUUUCUCUGCUAUCCAUUUAUUGUUCACAGCCACUGACUUUCCAGUCUGUCUACAUUCAUGCUUCUUUUGCAACUCUUCGAUUGCAAAUCCACCCUUGCCCCUUAUUUUACCUCCCAUCACAUACCAUGGACACUCAUUAAUCUUGCAUUUUCUGUAAAAUCUCCUAGGCUCAUUGUACACCUUUGUAAUUUCAAUGCCUUUAUCCACCAUCACUUCACCUAACACAUAUCUAAACUGUUCAACAUCAUCAAAUACAUCUCCUAACCUCAGCCUAUGUUUACCAUUACGCCUUGGCUUAUAUGCAUGCACUUCAAUAUCAUCCUUCAGCUGAGUGGUACCCAAAUCAUAAUAUGAAUCUGAUGUGUCUGCUAACAGCUGAGGAUCUACUUCAGCUGUUUCAUCGUCAGAACUAGAACCCCUAGCAUCAUCCAUAAUAUCUGCACCAUUAUCUUCAUUUUGGUCAUCGUCAUCAGCAUCAUCAUCAUCAGUGUCAUCUAUACGACUCCCAUCAGUUGAAUAUACUACAUCAUCAUCAUCAUUCUCAUGCCCAUCAUUCUCAUUCAGUUCUGUUGGUGGCCCUUGUAUGCCUCCAGUCCUAGGUGGUGGUUCAUUUCCACCAUCAUUCACCCAUGUAAUUUGCUCUGCAGAUAACUGCACUCCACAGUUAUGUAGCAUCGCUUGUAACACCCCACAAAGUGGUAAAUCAGGACGUAGGGUUGGCAAAAUUGUGGCUUCAAACACUGCCACUUCCAUUUAAUCAUGUACAGCGAACUGAGCCUGCAACACUGCCUCAGAAUCUACAGUAAUCGAAAGCUUGUCCCUUGGGUUGGUAACCGAUAACUGCACACUUUCAGGAGUUUCUUCAUCUGCUGCAGGGUAUAUUCUUCAGGUUCAAUCAACCCUAUAGGAUGUCUUUCACCUUUGUAAAGUAAAUGUAGUUGUAAUGGUAACAUCAUCUACCAGAUUAAAAACGAGGAAACAUUUUGAAUAACUAAAAUUACAGCAUAACUCAAAGCAAUUUAAUUAGGUAAAAAGUAAUGAAAAAUAACUAAAAUUAUGGCCAAUAACCAAAAUUUCAGCAAAACGGCAAAUGCAUGUAAGCUUAAUGGUUACAAAUAAAAAAUUAAUUAACAGUAAGCAAAAAUUAAUUAACAAUAGGCAACUAAUAAUCCUAAUCUAUUAAAUUCAAGUGCCAAUCACAACUCAAAGCAAUUUAAUUAGGUAAAAAGUAACGAACAAUAAUCAAAAUUAUGCCCAAUAACCAAAAUUACAGCAAAACGGCAAAUGCAUGUAAGCUUGAUGAUUACAAAUAAAAUGGCAAAAAUUCAUUAACAAUAACCAAGCAGUAAUCCUACUUACAAUGGACAAAGUAGAAGACAGUAGAGAUGGAAGAACACUGCUGCGAGAGUGAGAGAGAUAUGCGUCAGUUACAAUGAGCGAGAGAGAGCAGAGAUGGAAGAAGAAUCGAGAGAGAGGGGGAUUGAUUUCGAUUUCUAGGGCUCCAUGUCCAAAUUGCCCGCUUUCUUUACAAUUGCAAAACGCAACGUUUUCGCCUCACGUGAUAUGUCCAAAAUACCCUUAUGACGUCAGCAUAAUUUUUAUUCAGUUAACGGAAUUGUGGGAAAAUGCUAACAGUUUAAACAUUUAGUGGUAAAAUGAUAGUUUUACCAAACCAUGGUACUGACAUGAUGUGUCAGAAUACCUUUAGUGGGAAAAUGAUAAUAUCCCUAUGUAAAAUAUAUAAAUCUAAAAAAUAGUCUUGAAUUUUUUUUUUUUUUGGGCUCCUGUUUUAUUAUUCUUUUUCUAAAGUAAUUUUCUCUCUUCUUAUUAAAGGCUUGAGAUAAAUUAUAUAUCCCUUUUUCUUUUAUUGAAUCAUAAUUCUUCGUUUCUUCUAUUGAAUCAUAGUUCUUGUGAUUUUGAUUUUUAGUAUGUAUUGCCUACAAUUUAUCAUUGAGGUAUCAGUUACAUAAAUAUAAUUUUCCAUUAAUCUUAUUUCGAAGAUGUUAAUGAAAUAUAUUUGGUGAAAACGAUAUUAGAGUGAGGAUACGUGCACCCAUGACAAAAAUUUGCAAAGAACUCUUCAAUCUUUCAAAUUUUCCAAUUGAUAAAGAAUUGAUUUAAAAAGAAGAAGAAGAUGAUGAUGGUGAUUUAAGAUUUUAUAAUACAUGGGUGUGUCAAGGAUAUUUGUUUCAAGUUAAAAUUAUUCAAUCCUUAAUACUAAUUUCAUAAAAGGACGUUUUUAUAAUCUAAAAUUUUAUUAAAUAAAGAGGAUUAAAAAUAACUUUUAGAAUAUAUAAAUAAAUAGCCUCUCUCGAUUAUAAAGUACAAGGUCACUCGAUGAUGUCAUGAAUUUAUGUAAUCAAAUAUGAAUUAUGUAAAUGAAACAUAAGACUUAUAAAUUUAAUAUAAAACAUGUAAAUCAAUAUUAACUGUGAACUAACAUAUAAAUUAUGUAAAUAAAAUAUUAGACUUGUAAGUAGAAGGUAAAACAAACAAAUUAAUAUAGGAGUGAUAAAUUGGUAUAUUAUUGGUAAAUAAAAGAAAAACUUACAAAUGUAAUAUAUAAUUUAUAAAUCAAUAUUAAGUGUGAAAUAAAAUAUAAAUUGCGUAAAUGAAACAUAAGACAUGUAAAUAAAAGAUAAAAUAAGUAAAUUAAUAUAAGAUAUAAUAUAAAACUAUUAGUAGUAAACAAAAUAAAAAUUUAAAGAUAUAAUAUAAAACUAUAAAUCAAUAUUAAGUACAAAAUAAAACAUAAGUUUAGGUGUAAUUUACAAAAUUAAUAUAAGAUUUAUUAAAAAAAACUUACAAAUGUAAAAUAAAAAUUCAUUAUAAUAUUGAUUACCUUAUAUAUUUAUUGAUUCUAUUUUAAAUUGAAUAAUGAUAGUUUUUAUCUUAUGUAAUAAAUGUGAUGUUUUAUAUAAAUUUAUUCUCAAAAUUAGAUUUUGAAAUCUAUUCUUUUAAUGUUUUUCGAAUUUAUUGUAAGAUGACAUGAUUUUUCAUCCUUCUAAAUCUCCUCAUCAGCAAUGCAAAUAGUUUCUAAAUACAAGUAAGGGGUGACGGUUAAAAUUACAAGAAGUUUAUGUAAAACUCAAAACUAGAUUUAAUUUUAUUAAUAUGUCAUCUAUGUGUUUAGUAAUAUAAGAAUAUAUUUUUAUUUUAUUUUUUGUUUAAUCCACAUUAAGAUAAAUUAUUUCGCAUAGUUAACUUGUGUAGUAAAACAAAAAAAAAAAAUGACAGAAAAUGAAAAAAAAUAAGUUUAUAAAUAUCUUAAGACAAAUAUAGAAUUUAUUCUUAAACCAAUUUAGUAAAACUUAUUCUACUUGUUUUCAGUAUAAUUUUUUUGGUCUUAGAUUGAUGACUAUUUUUUUUUCAUUGUUUAGCUAAAGUAAAUGAAUAAAUUAUUUUUUCACUAAAAUUAUGUAGAAAUCAUGUUAAUUAUUUUAAUAAUUAACUGGUUUAUAUUAAUUUACAUGUUUUAUCUUCCAAUCACUUAUCUUAUGUAUAAUUUUAUAAAAUAUAUUUUUUACCACACCAUUAAUGCUGUAAUUCUAAUCAUGGCAUUAUAAAAUUUUCCAAUGUGGGGAAACUUCUUUACUCUAAAUAAAACUAGAGUUGUGUUGAGCACAAUUUAAAUAUCUAAACAGAGUUCCGUUGGCAUUAAACUUCAUUAUAAAAGAGUCUACAUUGGCAUCAUGCUAAUCUUAUUGACAAUAUAUAGUUGCCGGUAUUAAUUAUUUUUGCACCAUAGCUUCCGUAGAAUCAAUUGGGUACCCAGUUCCGGAUGAAGGGUUGGAACCGCCGUUGGAGCAUGUACAUAAGAUGGAGACAACUCGAAUGAGUAGUUUUGAAGAAUCAUUGCCGUGGCCAUUUUUGCUUCUACUAGAGCAAAAUUUUGUCCAACACAUAUCCUAGGACCCAAUGCGAAUGGGAAAUAUGAAACUUGAUUUUUCGCCGCCUUUGAAAUUCCUUCCGCAAACCUUUCCGGCUUAAACUCAACUGCAUCGUCACCCCAAAGUUCAGGAUCCUGGUGAACUAGGAUCAUUGGCAAGCCAAUUUGAACCCCAGCGGGUAAUGUCAAGUUUCCGAGUUUCGUUUCCUUAAAAACAGCUCGACUAAGCACAGUUACGGGCGGAUAAAGCCUGAGUACCUCGUAAAGUAUCAUCUGGACCUGUCACAUACAUACAAACACAACUGAGAUUAAUAUGAUCAAAUUGAUCAAUAUCGAAUACUAUUUCCUUCGUACUUACAAUUUUGAGGUGAUUCAAUCCAUCAUAGUCGGGCUUAUUAUUGCCAAACACUUGCAAAACCUCUUGCCUUGCACGUUCUUGCCAAUCUUGAUGCUUGCUCAAUAAGACCAUCGUCCAAUUAAGCAAAACAGAGGUAGUCUCUUGGCCGGCAAAGUAAAAUAGCUUACACUCUUCAAUCACAUCGUUCAUGCUGAACCCAACAUUUUUGUUAUUUCCAUGUUCUUCAAUCUCUCUAAAACUGGUUUCCAUCAGUAUGCCUAACAAGUCAUCAUUCGCAGCUUCCCCUGCUCUCAUUGCCUUCUCCCUAUUUUUGAUGAUUCCCAUCAAUGAAGCCCGGAUUUCCUUGUCAAUUUCUUUCAUUCUCCUAUUUCUCUUUGUAGGUAAAAACCUAUAUAUAACCAAUGAAACAACUGAAAAGACAAGAACUAAACAAACUAAUCAAACCCUUAAUUUUUUUUUUGCCCUCUUUUACCAAUCAGAAAUCUGCUGGAGCCUCUUAGAAUAACUCUAUGAUUAGCACAAUCAAGAUAUCUGAGCCGAAAUCAGCUAGGUCUACUUCUAAUAUUUUGCGGGAAAGAAAAUAACUCCCACAAAGCUAAUCAAAGCCUACUCAUAAAUAAUCCUAUAUGACAUGUAUAUAUGAAUGUUUCCAGUGAAGAGAAAUGUGAAUAUACCUCCAUCCUGGAAUGUGAACUGAACGAAAGACUUGCAUUGUGAGUUCAGCUAGCUCUGCCUGGAGCUGAAAAAUCCUUCUUCCUUCUUCAUAACUACUCCCAAAAGCCGUUCGAGAAAUCACAUCACUUGUUAAAUUUGCAAGAUAAGGCCAUACAUCCAACUCAGAUGAUCCUUCUACAGACAUUUGCUUCUCCCACUUUGUAAUUAUUUCGAUACAACUCAAGUAGAAUGCUGGCAACAUAAGCUGUAACAAAAGCAAGAAAUCUAAAUGAGGGCAAAAUCGAAUCUUCCAAAGAUAUGUAAACAAAUGGAGAAGUUAAUUAAUAAACCUUGAGCUUCUCUUGGUGGAAGGCUGGGUUGAUGAGUUUUCUAUGUUUAGCCCACUUCUCCCCCUCAAGGGUAGCCAAUCCAACUAUCAGCAGCCUGGCAAGUGGGAUUGAAUUGACUUUUUGAAAAUCAUUGAUCCUGGUAAAUAUCUCUUUUAUUUGAUCAGGAUUCAUAAUGUUCACCCUUGGUGUCGGACCAAACCACAUGAAAGAAUUCUUACCUGCAGAAUUUUUUUACCAAUAUAUACGCACAUGUUACUUGCUAGAGGCAGAUGGUACAUUGAAAAUGGUAGUAUACCUAAGCUGUGAAAAUUUAGUUAUUUUAUUCACAAAUCAGUCAAAGAAUAACCAUUCAUACUAAUUGAUUUUACUUCAAGCAGAAAAGAUCUAACAAGCAACUUUGCCCAUUAUAAGGUAAACAAUUAGAAACAUGGCACGAUUUUAUAAGAUUAUGUAAAAGCCUAAUGGCUUUGAAACAGUGAAUUAAUCAGACAACACUCAGCAAAAGGAACAACGCUGCCCUCUGGAAAUUUUACAUGUGGCAUAGCCCAUCCACUGGUUGAAUUACACCCACACGCCUAUCUCAUCAAGACAUUAGUGGUUCUAGCCACUCGGUCAAGGCUGAGUGGUAAAGUAUCACCACUUAAUUAAAAAGAAAAGAGAGAGAGAGAGAGAGAAGUUUAGCUGCAACAUCGAUUUUUUUCUCUGAUCAAAGAAGCGUAAAAAUAAAAUUAUGUUUUAACCCACCAAAAUUUUCCAGAAUUAUCUUUACGUGAAACAUCUCUUCUGAAUCAGAAGUCUAAUCAAAUUUCUUUCAUCAGACAGGAUUAAUUCUUUAAGCAGUGGCGCAGUCCAGAUAUUUGAGUCAUUUGAGUCCAGAACAGAACAAAUCUACUUUUGAACGAGUAAAGUUAAAAGAGUACACGCCGGGAUUGACAUACAUACCAUAAUCAUUUACCAGUUUAUGAAGGAAUGGAUUGACACGAAUAGCAAUAUUGUCAUCCAAACUGAGGGGUCUGGCUUUGGCUUCCUUCAGCUCGAUGGAAUUUUCUUUCAAGUCACCAAACAGAAGCCUGUAAGAAUUGCCUUUUAAACCUUGCUGUCUCAGGAAUUUCUCCAGCUUCUCGGGCCUCAGCCACACCCAGUUCAGCACUCUCCAUGCCCAUGUUAGCACCGUUACAAUAACAAUGGUCAAAGCUAUGGAUUUCAGAGGCAACUCCAUUUCACACUGACAGAUUUUGUGGGUUUAAAUUUGAAGAGACGAACGAGAAGAGUAUAUAUAGUCAUCAAGCGAAUGAGAAAAUCGUUUUCCUUUGCAUGUGUCUUUGAUUAGGUGUUUUCUGGAUCGAUGAUUUCAGAAUUUCCCCGGACAAAGACAUUGUCCCCAGUAAGCGGUGUUAACGAUACGUGUCAAGCUUGCAUGCGACUGUGAACUGUGGACUUUGUUCUAGAACUAGACUGUAUGGGAUCGAUUAAUUUUAAAAAAUAAACUAAAAUUCAUAUAGUAAGAAUUUUUAAGUAUAAAUGUUUGUAAAAUAAAAUCUAAACCUACAUUUGAAUGGCAAGCAUCUAUAAACAAGAUCUGUAUUCUGUCAUAUGACGCCAGGAAAUAUACUGCCUUUUCGUAAAUGCAUAAUCAAGCAGCAUGAUGUGCUCUGCUUUCACACGAAUGUAGGUCCACUAUGUCUUGGCUUUUACGGAAUUUCAAUUAUAUUGUUAUGGGGAUUAAUGGCUCUGCUUAAUUUUGGGGCCUGCUUUCAGAGAAAUGCAAAACGAUUAGAACUCUGCUUUGUGAUACAGACAAGACGCAAUGGUUCUAUCAUCUUCAUCUCUACUAUUUCAUUUAUCUUUAUCAUGAAUAUAAUCCACGAUUCUCAAACAUGAUAAACAAGGUCACAAACUAUGGUGUACCAAUCGGCUGUUUUUUUUUUUUAACUUAAUUAAUUUAAUUUUAACCAUUUAAAUCAUUGAGUCCAUUUAUUUUUUCAACUUAAUGAAAAUUUUCAAUCACUAAAUCAUUCAGUUAUCAAGCUAAUUUUUAAAUUUUUUGUUUAAUCUAAAAAGUCUAAAUAAUAACAUUAAAAGAUAUUCUCUAAAAUAUCUCUAUCUAAUUAAUUAAUUUUUACCCUUACCUAAAUAAAUUUUAAUAAUUGAUGUUAUUACCUACCUCUAUAACUUGUGAUAAUAUAGUGCACUAGUAGACUACUAUUAUUUUUAAUUUUUUAUUUUCUUCAAAUUAAAAUUAUUUAUCUUCAUAAUUUUUCAUCAAUAUUUUUCAUAUAAAAACAUCGUAAACUAUAGUAAAAAUGAUUAAUAUAUACUAAUUUAGAAUAUUAAAAAGAGUAUAGACAUUAUGAGACAGUAUCAUUAAGCAGCUACUGGAAUAAGAUGUUAUGAGCCUAAAUUUUAUAAGGUCAAAGUUGAAUUUGGCCGAUCCUCUAACCAAAAAAACUAAACAAGAGUUUAGUAGAGAUCACAUCAAGGGAGAUGGGACUAGUGUCUAGAUUAGAAGACAAGAGUGAUGGUAACCCUACCUAUGUGAUUGGAGAUCACAUGAAAAAUGUUCAAUAAGUUACUUGUUGUUUUGGAACACUAUCAAUAUUAUGUAAUCUUAUUUUUAUUCAAUAAAGAUUUUCUUUAUUUAUAAGUCCUCGUUAUAAUAAGAUAAUGUUUAUCGCAGUGAGUUAGGUUAAGCAAUUGAGCUUUUAAUGAACUCCAUAACUCACUUUUUAUGUAUGGUGGUGUGUUAAAACUGCAUGACAUACUUGAUGGAGGUUCACCUAUGUUAGUGUGGAAUUGGAUAAGUUCCUAUGAGAGUUAAACAUGCUUCUCUAGAGCGCUCAUGAAUACAAGAGCACAGGGCUACUAAAGUGCCAAACCGUAGAACAACAAAACAUUGAGAGAGUUUAAUGUGAGCUUCUAGUCAGCUGCCUUACAAAAAAAAGAAUAUUGGUUUAUAGAAAUUAUCAGUUUCACCAAGUUCCUAUGACACAUGGUUAGUUAUUCAAUGGCCAAUUCAUAACCCAAAUGGCACCAGUUCAUAUGCAUUAAACUCUAUGGACAAUGAUGAAAGAAAUUGAGUAUUUUGAAAUAUGUGGAGGAUUGUUAAAGAUUGAGUUUGUAUUUUAAAAUACCAAUAUUCCACAUUGCUUAAACAACAGAGUAUAAGUUGGUUUUUAUAUAGAUACCAAAUAUAGUGUAGUAACAAGCCUAUGAAGAGGAGGCCCAUAUGCAUGAAACCAAGAGCGAGUGAGGAGCUCAUUCCAUGACUCUAUUAAUUGGUUGCUCGUACCCAAUAACUCACUCGCAAUGGGGACCCUCCUUCCCCCCAUGGGGUGUUGUGUAUAUGUGUGGGCUUGGCCAUUUAUUAUGUUUUUGUCCUUUGUUUUAAUUUUAUUUAUUUUAAUUUGAAUUAAAUUGAGAAUUUAAUUCCUAAUCGAAUUAGGAUUUAAUAAAUAUAAUUAGAGUGAUGAUACAGCCAUAAACUCUUGUACAAACUUAUUUUGUACAAACUGAUGUGUCAUUAAUUCAUUGGCUGAAUAAAAAUAUAAAAUAAUAAAAAUAAAUCAUGUGGGCCAAGUAAUAUUUAAUUUAACCAAUCUUAUCAUGCCACAUCAGUUUGUACAAAAUAAGUUUGUACAAGAGUUCGUGACUAUAUCAUUACUCAUAUAAUUAUAAUUCGAAUUUAGAGAGGAAAAAGGGGUUAGGGCUUGUAUCUAUUUAAAGAGCCGAAUAUAUCACACUAUGGUCAUCCGAAAAUUUACUCUCUUGCUCUCUUCAUCCGAAAACUUACUCUCUUGCUCUCUGUUCUUUGUUGCUCUCUGUUUUCCUUUCUUUCGUCAUUGUACGUUUUGCUAUUCUAAACUAUCAAGUUGAAGUGCAACAUCACAAUCGUAAUAGUAAUUGUAUCAUAGAAAUCAAACUACUUUUGUUAGCCCUUCUUGCACCGAAAUACUGCAUCUUGAGAUAUCUUAAGGACAGUGCUAUCGCCAGCCUUAAAUGUUUGUUGUUUCCGUCCAAAUUUCAUUGUUUUUCAUCCUAAAAUUCCGACUGCUAGACCAGUAUAACUACUGGGGGAUAGAGCCUGGAUACCUAGUAGAAUAUCAUUUGAACAUGUAAGAUAUGCACACAAAAAGCAAAUUAAUACGACCAAAAUUUAUCAACUAUAGUAAAGCAUAUUUCAACUCAAUUUCAUUCGUACUUACAAUUUUGAGGUGAUUCAAUCCACCAUAAUCUUGCAAAAAACUUGCAAAAACUCUUUUCUUGCACGUUCUUGCCAAUCUUGAUGCUUGCUCAAUAGCAACAUUGUCCAAUUAAGCAAAACAGAGGUAGUCUCCUGGCCAGCAAAGUAAAAUUGCUUGCACUUUUCGAUCACAUCGUUGAAGCUUAUUCCAACAUUUUUGUUGUUUCCAUGUUCUUCAAUUUCUCUAAAAUUGGUCUCCAUCGGUAUGCCAAGUCAUCAUUUCCAGCUUCCUCUGCUUUCAUUGCCUUCUCUCUGUUUUUAAUUAUUCCCAUCAGUGAAGCUCGUAUUUGCUUGUCAAUUUCCUUCAUUCUCUUAUUUCUUUCUGAAGGUACCAGCCAGCCUAUAAGAAAUAGGAACAAUAGAAAAUACAAGAACGUAUUGAAUGCACUAAUCAAAUCCUACUUAUCGAUUUCAACAAUAUGAUUAACAUCUUAGAUUAACUAUAUGACGACAUGGAUCGAAGUUAUAAGCCCAGGAUGGGCCAAACCUACUUCCAUAUUUUUGAAAGAAAAUCAACUCCUACAUUGCUAAUUACUCCCAGAAGCCGUCCUCAGAAUCACAUCACUAGUUAAUUUUGCAAGAGAAGGCCGUACACCCAACUCACACGAUCCUCCUUUGGACGUCAGGUUCUCCCACUUUGUAAUUAUUUCACUACAACUUUGGUAGAACGCAGGCAACAUAAGUUGAAACGAAACAGAAAGAAAUUAAAAUGAAGACAUUUAUGUAAACAAAUGAAGAAAUCAAUUAAUAACCUAGAGCUUCUCUUGGUGGAACUGGUUCAUAAGAUUUCUAUAUUAACCCACUUGUCACCUCAUGGCUAACCAAUGCAAGUGCCAAUAAUCUGGCAAGUGGAUCUGAAUUGAUUUUUUGAAAAUCAUUGAUCUUGGUAGAUAUCUCUUUGAUUUGAUCGGGCUUCACAAUAUUCAACCUUCGUGUCGGACCGAACCACAUAAAUGAAUUAUUGCCUGCAUCAAUUUUUAAGCUCUGGUUAUUUUGCUCGUGGCAUAACUUACCACAGCUUGAGUUACACCCAUUAGCCCAUGAUAUCAAGAAAAUUAUUGGUCUCGCAAACAACAUAGCUCAAAUGUUUCAACACCAUACAUAUUUUCUUCAUUAAUAAAAAAACAAUUACGUUUUAACCCAUAAAAAUAUUCAAGAAUUAUCUUGAUGUGUAUGAUCUCUACUAACUACAAUUAUAACGAGAAGUCUAUUUGGAUUUCUUCCACUUAUAACAGCUCUACAAUUGUGCAAACUGAAUUAGUUUUAUUAAUAAUGGCACAAUCCAGUCGAGAUAUUAUCGUCUAAACUUUCUUUCAAGUCACCAAACAGAAGCCUGCAAGAAUUGCCUUUGAAACCUUUGCUGUCUCAGGAAUUUCUCCAGCUUCUUGGGCCCCUCAGCCACACCCAGUUCAGCACUCUCCAUGCCCAGUUCCCACUGUUACGAUAACAAUGGUCAGGUCUAUGGAUUUCAGGGGCAAUUCCAUUUCACACAGAGAGAUUUUUGAAGUGUUCAAAGAAAUGAGACUUGCCUACGUGGUAGAUUAGUUGAAAGUGAAUUAAAAAAAUAUUUUCGUUUGCAUAUGUUUAAUGGCUUUUCUUAGUUUCGAAUUUUCCUGUACCAUUAUAUUGUUUCCAGCUAAUGGUACACGUGUCAAUAUCAAUCAUGCAUGUGGUGAUCUUUGUGGACUUGUCACUCAUUGACUGUCUUCUAUAGAACUAGAGAAUGUAAGUUCGGUUAAUUAUUUGAAAAAAAAAAUUGUUUACCCCUAAUACAUUAAUUAUUCUCAAAAUAUCCUCAAACUAUAAUAAACAUUAAUCAAUCCACAAUUACUAUUAAGAAGGUAAAAAAAGAAAAAAGAAAUCAUCAAUCGUUCCCAUUUGAUCUUAUUUUUUGAAUGAUCAUUAGGGUAAAUUAAGGUUUACAAUAAUUUAGAGAUAACUGAAAUUAAUAAAAAAAUAAAUAAAAUAAAACUCAUCUAAAUAAAUUAUGCAUGGUGGGCCUAUUUGCGCUUUAAAAAAUACUCAAAAUAUACUAUUAUUUAUGUAUACUCAUUUACUUAUUUUAUAAAAAGGGUAGGGCUAUUUGCACUCUUAACAUUACUAUGAAUAUUCUUAUUUUAAUAAAUUAUUUUAUUACAAAAAUACCUAUUAUAUGAAUUACUAAUAUGGAAUCUCUCUUAUAAACUAACAUAAUAAAAUUACUCCAAACACUCACUAUUCAAUAUAUGAUUAUCUUGCCAUAAACCCGAAAAAUUUUUAAUCCAAUAUCUUAAACAAUAUUUAGUUAAACAAAGAGCAAAUCAAUACUUUUAAUAUAUUUUGAGCAUAUUUUUACUCUUUGAUUUUCAGAAGAAAAAAAAAAUUGCAGUCUUCUUCCUCUUCCUCAUCCUUCUUUUAGUCUUCUUUUUCUUCGGCUAUUUCUUCUUCCUCUUGUUUUCCUUUUUUUCUUUUUUUCUUUUUUUUUGGCUAGAUGGCAAAAAUAUUUUCAAUUGUUUGGUUAAAAAAUUGGGUGCAAAAACUAAUAUUGAAUACAUUCUUUAAUAGACAAAAGCUAAUAAAGAAUAUGUUUAGAAUAUAAUUUGAUUCCUUUGUGUACAUACUAAGUUGUUAUUAAUUCAUUUUGGAUGCUCAAUAGUUUAAUUGGUGUUUUGAGUAAAUUAGUUUAACUAGUUUAAUUAAGGUCUUUUUUUUGUAUUUUAAAGAGUGUAGAAAGUAAAUUUUAAUUAUUUUAAAUUCAGCACAUGAUUGUACAGACUAAUAAAGUGUUCAAAGUAAUUUUUGGAGUAUAAAUAACCUAAUCUUUUGAAAAAUGGUGGGACUAUUUGAAUCCACCAUAAUACUCAUUUGACCCACUUUUUAGAAAACAUUUUUACUACUAAAUUGUCUCUAACGUAAAUCACUAUUAAAGACAUAAUAGUAUGUAUAUACUUCAUGCUCUCAUCUUUUAAUCAUGUCUAAAUCUGUUCAAUGUAGACAUAAGAGAAAAUUGGUUUCAUACUUUUAAAUUUUUUUUAAAAUUUUCUUCAACUCCUUUGGUCGAAAACAAAUCUAAUCGAGUUGUUGGAUACUUGGAUUUGGUCAAAACUAUCUCACCAGUAAAGCUCAUUCGAAUCCAAUAAACCAAUAAGUUCUAGUCAAGAUAUUCUAGAUUCAAGCAAUAAAAUUUAGGAAAAUUAUCAGUCAUAUACUUUUAAAUGACACCCGCAUUAAACGUGUGUGAACACUUUUCAAAUGUAUCACUCGUGUACCCUAAGAUGACAAAACACUUCUGCCAUCCGCCAAUCCGUUAACUUCCGUUUGCAAGCGUUGACAUCAUAAGGGCAAUUUAGUCUUUUAAGAUUGACGAAACUUUGAUUUACAAAAACGACAUGUCAUCUCAUUUACCUAGUACAAAAUGACAUGUCAUAUGAUAUAUAUUGACAAAAAUGACAUGUCAUCCCAUUUAUCGGAUAAUUGUUAAUAAUUGCUAAAAAAACUACUUUACAACCGAAUCUACUCCUCUAAAAUUUAACCUAAUUUUGAAGAUCUACUCCUCCAAGUUCCAACUGGAAAGUUUUAUGGUAUAAUAUGUAUAAUUGUGAAUAAUAUGUUGUUAAUAAUUUUUUAUGGUAUAAUAUGGAUAUUUUUUAUGAAUAAUUGUUAAUAAUAUGUACCAUUAAUAAUUCAUUUUUUUAAUAAAAAAAUGUAUUGUUAAUAACAAAAUAAAAAAAAAUUGUGUAUUGAAAAUUUACGUUAAUUUUUGGGGUAAAUUUAUCUUUUUACCUUAUAUUUUGAGUUUCAAGGGUAAAAUAGUCAAUUUGUCACAAUUCUGUUAACUUUCUAAUGGAAGUUAACGAAUCUAAUGGAAGUUAACGAAUUGAUGGAUGGCAUAAGUGUUUUGUCAACUUAGGGUAUACGAGUAAUACACUUGAAAAGUGUUCACACACGUUUGAUACGGGUGUCAUUUAAGAGUAUAUGGCUGAUAAUUUCCCUAAAAUUUAUUUCAUUAAAUUUGCACUAUAUAAGAAAGGGAAAAGUUAUGCCAUUGACAAAUAUUGAGCGCUUGAAUUAGUUGUGUGAUCAAUUGAUUAUUGAUUACAACUAUCAUCUUAUUGUCAUUUAAUUUUUUCAUGAUAUUAUAUAUAUUUUAUAGCAGUUUAAUGACAAGCACGGACAAAAAAUAAAUUCCACUUGAGAAGUUGAAGGAUACGACCUUUGGUUAUGAAUGCGUCAAGGGUUGGAGAGAUGGAAGAAGAAGAAGAGAAGAAAAAUGUUGCAGAAAAUCAUGAAUUAAUUUCAAGGAUAUGUUGGUUAUUAACAUGGGUUUAUAAAGUAUAAUAUAAAAUUUUUAACAAUAGAAUUAAUAAGUAGAUGAGUUUACAAAGUAAUUUGGUGGGUUCAAAUAUACUCACUCUUUAAAAUAAUUAGUUUUUACUCUGCAUACUCUUUUUUUUUUUUUUAUGAGAAAGUAAAGCUUUCAAUUGAUUAAGAAGAAGAAAACAACAUCAACACCUAGACAGGGAAAUCACCUAUCCAGGUGACAGCAUCCUCAAACUCAAGAGCUACAUUAGCUAAGUUAUGGGCUAUUACAUUACACUUUCUUGGGACAAAACGAAUAGCUGCCGAGGCCUGGUUUUUCAACUCUGCUUGUAUUUCUUCAAUGUUCCAACAAAUUUUAGCUAAACUUUCCUUCUUGUUUAAAGUGAGCUCCACAACUUCCUUCAAGUCUGAUUCAACAAUGAAUUGGGCACAAUUUGUUUUCUGAGCUACUUGAAUACCGAGCAGCACUGCUUCUGCCUCCAUGUUUGCCACAUUUCCUUUUAAAGCUACUCUCUUAACAGCUGCAGCCAUGAUCUCAUAAAAUACUAAAAAAGCUACUCUCUUAACUCUAUACACUCUUUAAAAUACUAAAAAAGUCCUCAACAAAACCUUUAAGUAAAUCAAUUAAGAAUUUCAAGCUAAAAUAAAUCUAUACAUGUAAUCACAAUUUAUUAAAAAUGGUAGUAAAACUUUUAUAUUUGAAGUCAAGUACUUAAUUACCAAGCUUAAAUAAAUUAAACAAUUAAAAUUUAUUCAUCUUUUUAAAUUUUAAAAUAUUAUUAGUCAAAAGUUUCAAUAAUAAACUAAACUCAACUUAACAUAAAGUUAUUUGGGUGUCAUUGUUUCUUUGUCAUACACUCUACCUUUUUUUUUAAGAACCUACUGUUGACUGUUUUUCUAUCAAAAACUCCUUAAAAUAUUUAAAUUUUAUCUUCUAACUUGUCCUCUUGGUUAAUGUAACUAAUAACUAAAAUCUCAAAAUUCACAUAAAAGUUUAUGAAAUGUUGAUAUAUAGUUGUUACUAUAUUUUGUUUUUGUAAGUAUUGGCAUUUUUUCAAUUAAAUUAUUUUUAUAAAUAAAUUAAAACAGUAAUAAUAUUUUAGUCCCCAAAUCUUUUCAAUCUAUUCAAUAAAUAUAUAAUUUAAUUUUUUCAUGAAAUAAGUCACUAAUUCCAAUUGGGAAGAAAAUAUAAUUGAAUUAGGAACAUAUUUAAAAAUAAAAUAAAAACUCUAUUAUUUUAUAAAAAUUGAUAAAAAAAAAAAAAACAUAAGGGUAGUUAAAUUAGGGACAUAUAUGAAAAAAAUAAAACUAUAUUAUUAUAUAAAAUUAAUGAAAAAAUAAGGGGUAUAAAUAACUUUCCUGGACUAAUCCGGGCUACACCCCCGCUUAGGUCCGCCUGCGCACUCAUUACUCCAAAUACAACGUUUAAAUUUUAAAAUCAAAUUUUUACUAUGUAAAAUAUAUAAAUCUAAAAAAUAGUCUUGAAUUGUUUUUUUUUUUGGGGCUCCUGUUUUAUUAUUCUUUUUCUAAAGUAAUUUCUCUCUUCUUAUUAAAGGCUUGAGAUAAAUUAUAUAUCCCUUUUUCUUUUAUUGAAUCAUAGUUCUUCGUUUCUUUUAUUGAAUCAUAGUUCUUGUGAUUUUGAUUUUUAGUAUGUAUUGCCUACAAUUUAUCAUUGAGGUAUCAGUUACAUAAAUAUAAUUUUCCGUUAAUCUUAUUUCGAAGAUGUUAAUGAAAUAUAUUUGGUGAAAACGAUAUUAGAGUGAGGAUACGUGCACCCAUGACAAAAAUUUGCAAAGAAGUCUUCAAUCUUUCAAAUUUUCCAAUUGAUAAAGAAUUGAUUUAAAAAAGAAGAAGAAGAUGAUGAUGGUGAUUUAAGAUUUUAUAAUACAUGGGUGUGUCAAGGAUAUUUGUUUCAAGUUAAAAUUAUUCAAUCCUUAAUACUAAUUUCAUAAAAGGGCAUUUUUAUAAUAUAAAUUUUUAUUAAAUAAAGAGGAUUAAAAAUAACUUUUAGAAUAUAUAAAUAAAUAGCCUCACCCGAUUAUAAAGUACAAGGUCACUCGAUGAUGUCAUGAAUUUAUGUAAUCAAAUAUGAAUUAUGUAAAUGAAACAUAAGACUUAUAAAUUUAAUAUAAAACAUGUAAAUCAAUAUUAAUAGUGAAAUAACAUAUAAAUUAUGUAAAUAAAAUAUUAGACUUGUAAGUAGAAGGUAAAACAAACAAAUUAAUAUAAGAGUGAUAAAUUGGUAUAUUAUUGGUAAACAAAAGAAAAACUUACAAAUGUAAUAUAUAAUUUAUAAAUCAAUAUUAAGUGUGAAAUAAAAUAUAAAUUGCGUAAAUGAAACAUAAGACAUGUAAAUAAAAGAUAAAAAAAAGUAAAUUAAUAUAAGAUUGGUAAAUUAAUGUAUUGGUAGUAAACAAAAUAAAAAUUUAAAGACAUAAUAUAAAGCUAUAAAUCAAUAUUAAGUACAAAAUAAAACAUAAGUUUAGGUGUAAUUUACAAAAUUAAUAUAAGAGUUAUUAAAAAAAACUUACAAAUGUAAAAUAAAAACUCAUUAUAAUAUUGAUUACCUUAUUUAUUUAUUGAUUCUAUUUUAAAUUGAAUAAUGAUAGUUUUGGUCUUAUGUAAUAAAUGUGAUGUUUUAUAUAAAUUUAUUCUCAAAAUUAUAUUUUGAAAUCUAUUCUUUUAAUGUUUUUCAAAUUUAUUGUAAGAUGACAUGAUUUCUCAUCCUUCUAAAUCUCCUCAUUAGCAAUGCAAAUAGUUUCUAAAUACAAGUAAGAGGUGACGGUUAAAAUUACAAAAAGCAUCUGUAACACUCAAAAUUAGAUAUAAUUUUAUUGAUAUGUCAUAUAUCUGUUUAGUAAUAUAAGAAUAUGUUUUUUUUUUUUAAUCCACAUUAAGAUAAAUUAUUUCGCUUUGUUAACUUGUGUAGUAAAAAAAAAAAAACAAUGACAGAAAAUGAAAAAAAAAAGUUUAUAAAUAUCUUAAGACAAAUAUAGAAUUUAUUCUUAAACCAAUUCAAUAAAACUUAUUCUACUUGUUUUCAGUAUAAUUUUUUUGGUCUUAAAUUGAUGACUAUUUUUUUUUCAUUGUUUAGCUAAAGUAAUGAAUAAAUUAUUUUUUCACUAAAAUUAUGUAGAAAUCAUGUUAAUUGUUUUAAUAAUUAACUGGCUUAUAUUAAUUUACAUGUUUUAUCUUCCAAUCACUUGUCUUAUGUAUAAUUUUAUAAAAUAUAUUUUUUACCACAACAUUAAUGCUGUAAUUCUAAUCAUGGCAUUAUAAAAUUUUCCAAUGUGGGGAAACGUCUUUACUCUAAAUAAAACUAGAGUUGUGUUGAGCUCAAUUUAAAUAUCUAAACAGCUCUUGUCUAAGCUUUGAAUCUCAAUACAAAAUUAAAGGUGUGUUUGGCACGCAGCAUUACACCACAUUAAAACUCUGUAUUGUAUUAAAUCAAUACAAUAUCAUGUUUGGUAAAAAGUUAACUUUGUAUUAAACCUCAUUAUAAUACACCAAACGCCGCAAAAAAUAAACCCGUGGGGGAGUCGUAAUUAGGCCGCAUUGCAUUCGAAAAGAGAAAUAAAAUAUUUUCUUCUUCCAAACACGAUCCUCAGCCACGACCAUGAAACAAAAUUUCCCUUCUCAAAACCCAAAACAAUACUUUUCUCUCAAACUCACUCAUCUAUUCACUGAUUUUCCUCCAUUCUCCUUCAAUUUCUCAAGAGCCAAACAUAGCAAACGCCUUGUCAGUGCGGCCAAGCCCAGCCGUCGUGCAGCGUGAAUCAUUAAAUGAGUGGUGCAGCCGCAGCAUCUGAAUCUUUAAUUGGAGCGACGGUGUCAUUUGAAUUCGAACAACAGCGUGGUGCGGCGGUGGUGCUAUGGCGAGAUUCGAACGGAUUCACGUGCAGAUUUCAUUUUUCCAUUUAGGUAUUCAAGUGUUUUAGUUGAUGGCUCUAUAAAGCCAAAUAAAUAAAUAAAUAAAUAAUAAUAAUCUAUUGAAAUCAUUUUCAUGAAAUCUGGAAGUGUAGAGGCGUUGAUGUGAGAGAGAGUGAGUAAGAGGGUAGUGGAGAUUGUGGUGUUGAAUUGAUGAAUUUAGGAGAUGGGCAUUUUUUUUUUUAAUUUGUUGGCUUGUUUGUUGGUUUGAAUGUUUGUGUUCUGUUUUCUAGCAAUUGUUGUGGGAAUGAGGUGAAUGUUAAGAAUUUGGAGAAGAAUGUAAAAAUAUUGGUGAUUCGAAUUUUUCAAAAAAAAAAAGAAAAUCAUGGUUGAUUCUUGCAUGAAUAAGAUGAUUGCUGCUAGAACAGUCAGUUACUUUUUUUUUUCUGUUUCCCAAUGUUUCACUUUUCCAACUCUUGUUGAUUCAGGGGAAGCCUGAGUUGGUGGCCGAUGAUGAAACCAAGAUGGCACAGAUGGUUUGCUCUCCAACAAACCAUGAAGAGUACACGGCUUGUGGAAGUUAAAGGAGCAAAUUCUGGUUAUAUUCCUUGAAAAAUAUAUAUUACCUAGGCAUAGGUUACUGACCCUUAAUUGAAGGGGGCAUGUUUUGAUAAUAUGGGUAUCUGAAGUAUGAUUAAAUAACUUUAACAUGAAGUAACUUAAAAUGCUAUGUAUAGCUUAUGUGUUAAUAUAUCUUGUUAACUGUAUAGUUCCUAUUUUGUGCUGGGUUGCUGUAUUAAGAGUUUGAAUACUGUGGAACCUGAAGUAACGAUGACAAUUUAUUGAAUUAGGUUAUGACAAUUUAUUGAAUUAGGUUAAUUACAAUUAACACUAGUGUUACUCAUGAUUGCAAAGUUGUAUUUUUUGGUCCGAUUUUAUCCUAGGAAUGAUAUGAGAAGUUUUAAAUAUGGUGCUUUACUUAAGAUUUUAUAUGCCUUCUUGUGAAUUCAUGCAUACUUAUUCAUGUCUCACAUCUUCUCAUUGGGUGCUCAGAACGCAUUUUGGUAAUUGCAUGCAAUAACAUUGAGGGGUGAAUGGUGAUGGCCUCCUUAAAUGGAAGAAAUGAAUGAAUGGAUUAGGAGAAGCCACAGUAAGAGUGGAGUGCAUUUGAAAUUCCUAUCACACCCAUUUGGAUGCACUGUUUUCCACUCUAUUUAAAUUUCCUUUAUCCUUCAAAUUAAGUUGAAAGUAGUUUUGAAUUUUGAUGAUGGAGCCUUAGACUCUUGAAAAUCUUGAAGAUUGCGAUGUUGCUGAAGAGCAUGGAGAUGGAGUGAUUGCUGAAGAUGCUGAAGCUGGUGUUGCUAUUGUUGCUGCAAUAGUGAAGUUGUUGAGGUUAGUAGCAGCAUUGUAAAUGGCGGUGUUGUUGCUGCUGAAGAGAGCCCGCAUGGUAAGGGAUGAUAUUUGACAUUAUUUAUGGAUAUAGCAUAACCGUUCUUAUUCUAAUAUUCAACAUUAAUUUUACAGAUGAAGAGAAGCCUUAAUAUUGCUGCUUGCUAGGGAAAGAAUAAGUGAAGAGAAGCUGAAUCAGAUCUUAGAAGACAUGCUUGAAGGUUUUUUUUCCAAUAAAAAGAGAAGCAACAUCACAAAGACUACUUAUUGGGGCAAAAUUAAUAUUGGGAAGAAGAAUAAUCCGUGGGAAAAUGCUAUGUAGAUGCUCCUAAGAUAGAGAUAUAUGAGUUUUGUAACUAAGUUAAUAUCUUGGUUACUAAUUAUAGUGAAACACAUUUAUUUAGAUUCUUAUUAGGUUUAUUAUUUUCUUGGAACUUGCUGUGGACAAAGAAUUUAAUAUGUCAAGUGAAUUGUGUCUAUUGUACAUCGACUUUAACAUAUAAUAAAUCAAUAAAUGAUUCAAUUUUAACAGUACCUGUAUUUAUAUCAAUAAGACUUUCAAAGAUACUAUAAAUAUAAGUUUGUAUAUUUGAAACCCUAGUGUUCAAUAAAUUUGAAUAAUAUUAAUUUAUUAAUAAAUUAAUAUUUUUACAUUAUAAUUUAUUCAUAAAUUUAUAAUUUAUUAUAACUAAUAAUAAAUAUUUAAAUUUGAAUAAAUUUGAAUCAUAUUAAUUUAAAAUUAAUAAUAAUAUAAAUAAUAUAAAAUAUUAACACAAUUUAAAUAUAUUAAUAUAAUAUAAUAUAAUAUUUAAUUUCAAUUAAUCACAAAAAAAUAAUACAGUGUAGCACCAAAUAUUGUACAAUAUUAUUAUAAUACAGUACUAAUGCAAUACAGUAUAAUACAAUACAAUGUGCCAAACGCACCCUAAAUACAUUAAACUUCAUUAUAAAAAAGUCUACAUUGGCAUCAUGCUCAUCUUAUAGUUGCCGGUAUUAAUUAUUUUUGCACCAUAGUUUCCGUAGAAUCAAUUGGGUACCCAGUUCCGGAUGAAGGGUUGGAACCGCCGUUGGAGCAUGGACAUAGGAUGGAGACAACUCGAAUGAGUAGUUUUGAAGAAUCAUUGUCGUGGCCAUUUUUGCUUCUACUAGAGCAAAAUUUUGUCCAACACAUAUCCUAGGACCCAAUGCGAAUGGGAAAUAUGAAACUUGAUUUUUCGCCGCCUUUGAAAUUCCUUCCGCAAACCUUUCCGGCUUAAACUCAACUGCAUCGUCACCCCAAAGUUCAGGAUCCUGGUGAACUAGGAUCAUUGGCAAGCCAAUUUGAACCCCAGCGGGUAAUGUCAAGUUUCCGAGUUUCGUUUCCUUAAGAACAGCUCGACUAAGCAUAGUUACGGGCGGAUAAAGCCUGAGUACCUCAUAAAGUAUCAUCUGGACCUGUCACAUACAUACAAACACAACUGAGAUUAAUAUGAUCAAAUUGAUCAAUAUCGAAUACUAUUUCCUUCGUACUUACAAUUUUGAGGUGAUUCAAUCCAUCAUAGUCGGGCUUAUUAUUGCCAAACACUUGCAAAACCUCUUGCCUUGCACGUUCUUGCCAAUCUUGAUGCUUGCUCAAUAAGACCAUCGUCCAAUUAAGCAAAACAGAGGUAGUCUCUUGGCCGGCAAAGUAAAAUAGCUUACACUCUUCGAUCACAUCGUUCAUGCUGAACCCAACAUUUUUGUUAUUUCCAUGUUCUUCAAUCUCUCUAAAACUGGUUUCCAUCAGUAUGCCUAACAAGUCAUUAUUCGCAGCUUCCCCUGCUUUCAUUGCCUUCUCCCUAUUUUUGAUGAUUCCCAUCAAUGAAGCCCGGAUUUCCUUGUCAAUUUCUUUCAUUCUCCUAUUUCUCUUUGUAGGUAAAAACCUAUAUAUAAGCAAUGAAAGAACUGAAAAGACAAGAUCUAAACAAACUAAUCAAACCCUUAAUUUUUUUUUGCCCUCUUUUUACCAAUCAGAAAUCUGCUGGAGCCUCUUAGAAUAACUCUAUGAUUAGCACAAUCAAGAUAUCUGAGCCGAAGUCAGCUAG